CUUUCUUAUACUAACGGAUCUCACGAAGGUUAUGUUGAGUUUUGUGUGAUUCAAGUUUUCAAGUUUUGGGUUAUCUUACGAUGGAUGAAGGAAGGAUAGAAGAUCCUAAGCUUGGGGAUGCCCGGCAUCCCAAGCUAUUAUCCAAAAAUGAGCAACCAACUAAGCUUGGGGAUGCCCCCGAGUGGCAUCCCCUCUUUCUUCUAACGACCAUCGGUAUUUUACUCGAAGCUAUAUUUUUAUUCGUCGCAUACUAUGAGUUUUGCUUGGAGCGUCUUAUUGAUAUGAGUCUUUGCUUGUUUUUUUUUUGUUUUAAGUCUUGAUCCCUUUGCUGGACACACCUAUUUGGGAGAGCCAAAAUUAUGUCAUGACUUGUUAGAAUUGCUCUCUAUGCUUCACUUAAAUUUUUAUGAGCUAUGGACUUGCUCUCGUGCUUCACUUAUAUCUUUUUGAGCACGGUGUUCUUAGUAUUUUUUAAUAAAUGCUCUCUUGCUUCACAUAGAUUUAUUUGAGAGUUAGUCAAAAAUUUCAAGAAAAUUCUCUCUUGCUUCACUUAAAUUAUUUUGAGAGAAAGAAAGAAAAAUUAUGCUCAUGAUCUUCACUUAUAUUUGUUUGAGCUUAUGAAAAGCAACACAUGAAAAUUAGUCCCAAAGUGAUAAAUAUCCAAUAAUCAUAUAAUAAAAACUUUCAUGAAGAUCAUUGGACAAAACAAACUUGAUUCUUAGUAAUAGUUUUGAGAUAUGAUGAUGUGAUAUGUGAGUUAUGUUGAUGAGUAAUUAUGCUUUAGUAAGAAUAUUGGUGUUAAGGUUUGUGAUUCCCUAUGCAAACACGAAAGUCAAUAGUCAUGCAAUGAAAUUAUAUCCUACUUGUGGUGCAUUAUUCGGUGUUAUUUAUGCUUCAUGCUUGCUUAUGAGAUUAUCCGUUUCUUGGUUGGUCACUUCUCAAUCUUUUGCUAGCCUUCAUUUUGCACUAAGUAUGAUCUCUACUUGUGCAUCCAAAAACCUUUAAACCAGUUUUGCCACAUGAGUCCACUAUAUCUACCUAUAUGUGGUAUUCUUUUGCCGUUCUAAGCAAAUUUGCAUGUGCCAUCUCUAAUUUCAAAAUAAACUUCUCUUUUGUGUGUUCGUUUCGCUCGCGAAGCGGUGAGGGGUGGCUAAUAUUUUCCAUGCUAGAUGUGUUAUUCUCACGAUGAGUGUUUAUUCACUUGUCAUUGCACGAGAGUAAGGCAAAGGUAUUAGGGAUGCCCAGUCCUGAAAUGAAAAAUGAAUUUACUUUAUGUUGUCAAAUAAUAAAUUCCUUGGAAAGUGUUGGUAUGGAGGGCAACCGUGGAUACGGCUAGCCAUGGAAAGUGAAAGUAUGGUGGAAAAAGGAAUAAACUUUAUUUUCUGUUUGGGAACCGCCUAUGAUAUAUCUAGCAUGGAAAGUGUUGAGAACUCUUAAGUCGUUUUCAUUGGUGGGAUGGAUACACCUCCCAAAAUGUUUUUAUAUCUAAGUUUUUCACUUUGAGCUCUGGCACCUCUACAAAUCCCUACUUCCCUCUACGAAGGGCCUUUCAUUUACUUUAUGCAAUUUUUAUUUUGAAUUUGAGUCUACAUCUUCUCUUACAAAAGCACCAACUAGGAGGCAAUAUGAUCGUACUUAAGUAUUGGGUGUAACUAAUAUGCGAGUGUGUUUCAUGAAUGGAUCAAUGGUUGAGCAUGAUGGGCUAGGGAUAACUCAUUUUAGUGCUGAUAUUUUGAAAGACAUGGUUGCUUGUUGAUAUGCUUGAGUAUUUAAAUUAUCAUGUCAAAACUAGACUAUUGCUUUGAAUCACAUAAAAGUCCAAAUGUCCAUGCUAUAAAGAAAAGAAUAUGAUAUGACAUGUUAGGUGAGGGAGUUCUGGAUUAGGGGGUCCUCGGACAGCCGGACUAUAUCCUUUGGCCGGACUGUUGGACUAUGAAGAUACAAGAUUGAAGACUCUGUCCUGUGUCCGCAUGGGACUCUCCUUGGCGUGGAAGGCAAGCUUGGCAAUACGGAUAUGUAGAUCUCCUCCUUUGUAACCGACUUUGUGUAACCCUAGCCCCCUCCGGUGUCUAUAUAAACCGGAGGGUUUAGUCUGUAUGACAACAACAAUCAUACCAUGGGCUAGCUUCUAGGGUUUAGCCUCUAUGAUCUCGUGGUAGAUCAACUCUUGUAAUACUCAUAUCAUCAAGAUCAAUCAAGCAGGAAGUAGGGUAUUACCUCCGUCAAGAGGGCCUGAACCUAGGUAAACAUCGUGUCCCCCGCCUCCUGUUACGAUCCGCCUUAGACGCACAGUUCGGGACCCCCUACCCGAGAUCCGCCGGUUUUGACCGACAUUGGUGCUUUCAUUAAGAGUUCCACUGUGCCGUCAUCAUAAGGCUGGAUGGCUCGUCUCAUUGUCAAGGACAACAUCACCUCUGGGGGAGCCCUGGCUGUAGGCCAAACUCUCUGAUUAGGCGGUUUCGUCAUGAUCGCCCGUUCGGCCGUUGCGCCGACGAUGACUUCUCGGGUCAUCGAAAACAACCUCCACGUCGGCUCGGAAUUCGCCGAGCAGUUGGAUCCAAUGGAGCUCUCUUCCUUGAACGAGCUCUUGGGUCGCAUCGCCGCCUUGGGAGUCGCUACAGACUAUGACCAGAUCGGGCUUAAACCCGACCAAAGGGAGAUUAACUCCCCGCCGGUCACCCAUCAGAUAGCGGUGGUGGAGGAGCAAUGCAGCAAUUCCUCCUCUAUCUUGAGGACAAACUAUGUCUGGAUUCCCGAGCUCUCCGAGCCGGAUACCCGUCUACGGGAGGACAUGGCCCAAGCCUUGAACCUAGAAUCAGGCAGCGGGCCAGACCUAUUGGGCAACAUCCCGGAGCCUGAACUGCCAAGCUCGGAAACUCCUCCGCCCCUGGGUCUCAGAUCGGGUCAGGGUUCGGACCUAAAUCCACCAACCCACCCAGAUAUAAAUGAUCUUUCCCACAUUAGACAAGAGCCCCAAGAGACAGUACACCACUAUUGGGCCAGAUUCCUCCUUGUAAUAAGCAAGGUUAAGGACUGUCGCGAGGAAGACGCAAUUUCAUUCUUUUGCAAAAAUUGCACGGACAGGGGAAUCCUCAACGCCAUAAGUCGCCGUGACAUAGCACACUUCGCUGACUUGGCGGCCAUAGUACGGAAGUACUAUGCGAUGGAAAGCGCCUGGAAAAGCCAAACAAAAUUUUGGGAUCCUCUGGCUCUCACAAAACCCCCCGUCCGAACUAAAAGGGUGUAGUCUCGUAAGUCACCCGAUCCAAUUACAAAGAAACAAAAGCCCACUACAGGGCGCGGAACCGUAUUGGAGGGAUGGCUUAAUGGGCCAUGCAAAAUUCACAGUACAGCGGAUACCACGCCAACACAUAGCUUUAGAGCAUGUUGGGUACUCCGGCAGGUGGCCAAGAGCGGUGAGGAUCUCCUCAUCAACAAUACCGAAGAGCACCAUCCCGCGGAAAACAGCAAUACAGUAUUGACAGUCUUCGAGACCUUCACCUCAAAUAAUAGGCGUAAGCAAGCACUCCGCAGCCUUGCCGAAGUCUGCCACGUGGCAGUAAUAAAUCCAUGGAGUGAUACGGCUAUCACCUUCAAUGCCAGUGACGAACUUAAAUUCCGAACAGCCCGAGCACCAGCCACCUUGGUCCUUAGUCCAAUUGUGGACGGCUUCCGGCUUACUAAAGUGCUCAUGGACGGCGGCAGCGGAUUAAACCUCAUCUAUGAGGAGACUCUUCGAAAAAUGGAAAUAGACAAAAGCCGCAUUAGGCAAAGCAGCACGACCUUCAGAGGAAUCAUCCCUAGUCGGGAGGCACGAUGCGCUAGGAAAAUCACACUAGAUGUGGUAUUCGGCACGCCAGAGAAUUAUAGGUCCGAAGAAAUCACAAUCCAAGUGGCCCCGUUCCAUAGCGGAUACCACGCCCUUCUAGGGCGGGAGGCAUUCACGAUCUUCCAAGCUAUACCCCAUUACGGGUACAUGAAGCUCAAAAUGCCCGGGCCCAAUGGAAUCAUCACUCUAACUAGUGAUCCGGACAUAGCACUCCGCGCCGAAAAUAAAACAGCCGCACUGGCCCUCGAGGCAUUAUCCGAAGCCCUCGCGGCCGAAGAAUUAACUGCGCUACGCUCCAAAGUGGACAAGGACGACGUGAUACUCGACAAAAGAUCCAAAUCCACCUCUUUUAAACCGGCGGAUGAAAUAGUCAAAUUCCAAGUCCACCCAACGGACCCUACAAAAACAGCAUCCAUCGGGGCACAAUUAAACCCCACAGUGGACGCCGCACUACGGGAGUUCUUGCGCGAAAAUUGGGACAUCUUUGCCUGGCAUCCUUCAGACAUGCCAGGAAUCCCACACAGGCUGGCCGAGCAUAGCCUUAACAUUCUAAAGGGAUUCAAGCCGGUCAAGCAAACUCUUCGGCGCUUCUUUGAGCCUAAGAGACAAGCCAUGGGAGAGGAGCUAGCCAAGUUACUGGAGGCCGGAUUCAUUCGAGAAAUAAAACAUCCGGACUGGCUAGCAAACCUGGUGAUGGUACCAAAGAAGGACAAAUCCUGGCGCCUAUGUGUUGACUUCAAGGACCUUAACAAGGCUUGCCCCAAGGAUCCCUUCCCCCUCCCUCGCAUCGAUCAAAUUAUCGACGCUACCGUAGGACACGACUCAUUGUGUUUCCUCGACGCAUACUCCGGAUACCAUCAAAUUAAGAUGGCGGAGUCCGAUCAAGCCGCAAUGGCAUUUAUCACUCCAUACUGCCCCUUCUGUUUUAACACCAUGCCUUUCGGGCUCAAAAACGCCGGUGCAACCUAUCAACGCAUGAUUCAGACAUGCUUGUAGACACAGAUCGGCAAAACAGUGGAGGCAUACGUAGACGAUGUGGUCAUUAAAACCAGACACGUCGAAUCCUUAAUAGACGACUUGAGGCUCACGUUCGACAAUCUCCGAACAUACGACAUAAAGCUCAAUCCGGAAAAAUGCGUCUUCAGCGUGCCCGCCGGAAAGCUCUUAGGCUUCAUCGUAUCCAAUAGAGGAAUCGAAGCAAAUCUGGCCAAAAUCCGAGCUCUGUCACAGUUGGCCAUCCCAACAGACCUCAAGCAGAUCCAGAAAUUAACUGGAUGCGUGGCUGCUUUAAGCCGCUUUAUCUCCCGAUUAGGAGAAAAGGCACUGCCUCUUUAUCGCCUUCUUCGACGCACCGAACACUUCGAGUGGACGGAUGCGGCCACGACCGGAUUGGAAGAAAUAAAAGCCGUUUUGGCCACAAACCCAAUCUUGGCCGCGCCAAAUGUCGGCGAACCAAUGUUGUUAUAUAUAGCGGCAACACACCAAGUUGUAAGCGCAGUGCUCGUCGUCGAACGAGAGACGGACGGACAUAAGUUCCCGCUUCAAAAGCCGGUAUACUACGUAUCCACUGUCCUCACUCCAUGCAAAUCACGCUACCCAUAUUAUCAAAAGAUAGCAUACGCGGUCUUCAUGGCAUCCCGGAAACUAUGACACUACUUUCAAGAGUGUUCAAUUACGGUGGCCUCUGAAGUACCACUCAACGACAUAAUAAACAACCGCGAGUACUGGCUGAUUGCUAAAUGGGCUAUUGAGCUCCUCCCGUUCACAUAAUAUACAAACCACGGCGAGCCAUUAAGUCACAAGUACUGGCUGAUUUCGUCGCCGAAUGGACAGAAGCCGAACUCCCUAAAGAGUACGGCGUGUACUCCAAUUGGAUCAUGCACUUUGACGGCUCUAAAAUGCUUGCUGGUCUGGGGGCUGGCGUCGUCCUGACAUCCCCCACCGGAGAUACAGUCCAAUACGUACUCCAAAUACUAUACACAGACUCCAAUAACGCAGCAGAAUAUGAGGCCCUGUUACAUUGUCUCCGGAUGGCAGUCUCCAUGGGCAUUCAACGCCUGGAGGUGCGUGGGGACUCGAACCUCGCAAUAUCUCAAAUAAAUGGAGACUUCGAUGCCAAGGAUCCAAAAAUGGUGGCUUAUCGCAACGCCGUUCUCAAAAUGUCAGCUCAGUUCGAGGGGCUUGAAUUCCACCAUGUGGUCCGGGAAAACAAUCAGGCGGCGGAUAUCCUCGCCCGCAUCGGCGCUAAACGCGACCCUAUCCCACCUAAUAUCUUCUUAGAAAGGUUGUUUAAGCCAUCCGUGAUAUGGGAAGGAGAGACCGGUAACAAUAGUCCGGACCCGGCCACAACGCCAGACACCGAACACUCUGACGUAAUCGGAGGCUCUGCCACCGAAAUAACACCUUUGGCCCACAUGAUUAUGGCCGUCAUCGCCCCGUGGACAGAACCCUUCUUGGCUUAGCUAACUAGGCAGGAACUACCGGAGGACCCAAACGAGGCACGUUGCAUUGUGCGAUGGUCUAAAGCCUACAAGGUCCACGAGGGUGAGCUUUAUAAGAAAAGCGCUUCCGGAGUCCUUCAAAGGUGCAUCUCCGAAGAGGAAGGACGGCAACUUUUGGCAGAAAUUCAUGCAGGACUUGGCGGCCACCACGCCGCAGCUCGGGCCCUUGUAAGCAAGGCCUUCCGUACAGGUUUUUAUUGGCUGACAACCCGGGCAGACGCACAGGACCUCGUUCAACAUUGCGUCGGUUGCUAGCUUUUUGCAAACCAAAGCCAUAUGCCACCUACCGCUCUCCAAACAAUCCCCAUCACUUGGCCCUUUGCGGUCUGGGGGCUUGAUUUGGUCGGACCCCUUAAAGGGGGAAGCCAUAAGAAAAAAUACUAUUGGUCAUGGUGGACAAAUUCACCAAAUGGAUAGAAGCCAAACCAGUUAAAACGGCCGAAUCCGGACUAGUGAUAGACUUCAUAUCCGGGGUUGUACACCAUUAUGGCGUUCCCCACAGCAUCAUCACUGAUAACGGCACGAACUUUAGAGCCAACGAGGUAAAACUUUGGUGCAGCAAAAUGGGCAUCAAGCUCGAUUAUGCUUCUGUCUAUCACCCGCAAACUAACGGUCAAGUCGAGCGAGCAAAUGGUCUUAUCAUGAGCGGCAUUAAACCCAGAUUAGUGCGAUCCUUGAAGGAAUCAGAUACGCACUGGGUAGAGGAGCUCGACUCCCUACUAUGGGGGUUGCGGACCACGCUGAAUCGCACUACCGGAUACACACCGUUUUUAUGGUGUACGGCGCAGAGGCGGUACUACCCUGCGACAUAAUUCAUGACUCACCUCGAGUGCGCAUGUACGAAGAGAAAGAAGCCGAGCUUGAUCGGCAGGACAGUUUGGACGCCCUGGAGGAGGAGCGUGACGUGGCAAAAGCCCGUUCCGCAUUUUAUCAGCAACAGGCUCGAAGGUAUCAAAGCAGAGAAGUACGGGCCAAAACUUAUAACGUCGGCGAACUCGUUCUACGCCUACCAGAGAAGAAAAAGAACAAACUCAAGCCCAAAUGGGAAGGUCCCUUCGUUAUUGACCAAGUUCUGACCGGUGGAGCGUAUCGUCUGCGGGAUGCAUCGGACAAUCGAGUCGAGCCAAACCCAUGGAACGCAGCCAGACUCCAAAGGUUCUACGCCUAGUACCGGACACUAUGUUCGUCUCCUUACCUCCAUCAAUUUUUUAUAUACCCGUUAUCUGUCUUUUCUUUCUUUCUUUCUUCCCUUUUUCUUCAAGGCCUUCAAAGGCUAAAAUGUGUCUUGACUACAAAAUCAUGAUGCGCCAGCCGCGCUCAUUAUACCUGGGGGCUUCUUAUACUGAAGCUUAAUAUAACUAUUUUCCGGGCUCUAUGCCCCACACAUGUGUUAUUCUUCCACAUGUACCUUUUUUCGCCAUUAUAUGCAUCGAUAUGACUUAAGUUUUGGCCAAGCUGGGUUGCCUGGCUCUUGUGUUUAUGCCCUACGUUCCUGUUAAUUCGGCUAGGGCAUAAGGGGAGCACCUCUGCGAUUGUUACUGCCGGGUCAGCCGGAUGUGUACCUCAGACUGGGUGAAGCCGAAAGCUAGCGUUCUUAAGGGAAUAUUCGGUCAGUGAACAAAAGAUGACCUUUAUUUAUUCUAAUACAUGCCCCCCAGAUGUUUAUAUCCUGCGUCUCUUUUCGCAGUUCGGACAUGCACAUUAAUGCAUGCGUACCCAGGGAAAGGAACCCUUAACAGAACUAUUCUCCCUGGAAGAUGUUUCUUACUAUCCAUGUAAUAUAACAUAGCUAGUUGGGUACUUGUCUGUUCAAGCACUUAUGACCCCUACGCCUGGUUUCCACGCGUACCCCGGUUUUUACAUAACUGAGCGGGUAUUCGGAUACACUCCGGACUGUCGGGUCCAGAGGUCGAAACGAAAAGGUCCGCCAUGACAAAUGAUUUACAAUCCGGCUAGGGACAAUACAUGUCACUUGAAGUACACAGUCACUUAGACUGACUAAAUUCUUCUUCUAUACCAUCCAACAGGCUGUCUAGCCUACAAUCCUGUUAGGAAUACUUUGCGGCUAAUUCUACUUAGUCAUACACAAAACUGGCGGGGAUCUCUUUCCCAUCGGACCCCACAGGUCCGACCUCGGCCAUGUGGUUCGGGUCAGCCUUGGUAUAUCGCGUCUUCACCAUGGCCCAGGCUUCCCUUGCACCUUGUCGACAAGCUGAUAUCUACCAUAAUCGGAAGCGCCGCCGCUCCCCCUUGAGCUUCUCUACAAGCUCCCCCAUGCCUCUUGGCAGGGAGGCGGAUGGCCACAAGGCUUGGGCUAUGCCCUGCAUCACCUGCCGAACUUGUUCGUGCAGUUGUGAGAGCUCUGGCAGAAGAUCACCCGCAGACCCGGGCAUCUCCUCCACGGGACGACCCAUCAGCAUACCUGCAGACAUAACUCUGUUAGCCGGUUUCUUCGCCGAACUCUUUAAAAGUUCGUUCAAGCACUUACUGAAAAUGCCGCGUCGAAGCCUCUUAUUCUCCUUUACGGAGUCAGCAAGCUGGGCUCAAACAUCUUUCAAUUCAACGCCCAGCCGGGUAUUGGCGUCUUGGAGAUGUUUUUUCUCCCGCCUAACCCGUGUAAGCAUGCGCUCGCCAGCCUUUAGCUGUCGUUGAGCAUGUUGCCCAUCCCCUCGCACGACCUCCGGAUUCACUCCGGAGUCAUCUGCAGAAUCUAUUGUUAGAUUUGCAUGCAUGCCGCAUACUACCUGGUACAUGCCAUUCUUUGCAAUAGAAAUAAGUGUUACCAGAUGGGGCCUUCUCGGACUCCUUCACCACGGCAACUGCGGCCUGAAGCUGGGCUUUGCACUCCUCCAACUCUUGAGACAACCGGGUAUUUUCUCCGUAAGAACCUAUGCAAACAAUGAUCCUUAAAUCAGUUGUGCCAACUGUUUCAAGUCUCAGGGGCUACUGAUAUACAUAAUUAUUAGAUUUUCUUACCCGUAUAUCCUUUACAUACUGGUCCGUGGCUCUGGCAAGACCAUUUUGAGCAGCUCGGAUGUACGCGUCUCCUGAGUUAAAGGCAUUGAACGCCUCUUGGGAGAAACAAGCGUCGCGUAGUACGGCCCGGCGACGCCUGUGAUUCAUGGCACUCUCCACUUUGGAAUUCGUAGCGGACAGCCUAUCCGCAUCCUCUGUAGGAGGAACAUCCGGCGUUGGCCCAAUGUUAGCAUCCGCCUCUAAGUCCGGCUCUGGAGCCCGGUUGGUGGAGGCGUGGCCGGCAACCUCUCUGGAUAUAGUCCGGCGAGCGUUUUUCCUACUAGGAAACAUGGACGUUAUUAUAUUUUAAAAGACGACAACCAUGGAGCGGGGUUCUUUUUCAUACCUCCGCGACGGCGUCCCAGUCCUGACCGCCUUCCUUUUAAGCCUACCCGGCUUCGGUGCCCCUUGUUGGUGAGUCACUGUGGGUUCGGCAUGGCGUCCCGACGGCCUUCCCUGUAAGACACCAUAUGUGUGCGGAAGGUGAAGUGCAGAAAAAGGGAUCCUUCUCGAAAGUUGGGACUCCAGUUUUACUUACAUGCGAUGCAGGGAGCAGUCCAGGAUAAUCGACUAUGAUGGACACCAUGGCAUCGUCGCAGCUCAAUUGAUAGAAUAUCCUGUCAAUAAGCUCCACAAAUGUGUCCGGAUCUUCUUCGAGUCCGGGGUCGAGGGCCCGGUCAGGGUCCUCUGGUUGUGGAGGCGGGUUGUGGACCUCCCUCACAGCUUUUCCCAGUUCCUGCUAUGAAAUAGCAAGGUAAAUAUUUAUGACAAAGAAUGCGGGAAGGUCUGGAGUAAAAAGUAGCAGCUCACCCAGUUUGGGGGGUUGUACAUGGAGAAUCCAUCCCGUGGCUUGAUACGGAUGAACUCCUCUUCCUCUCCUUUAUAUAAAUCAGACAGUAUUUUCGCUAGAGCAGCGAUGGAGUCCGGACCUUUACGACCGCAGCGGGUGGCAUCAUCUUCUCCAUUGAAGUGCCACAUGGGUUGUCCCCGAUAUUGAAGUGGCUGCACCCCCCGCAUUAUACAUAUUGACAUAACCUCGAUUAUUGUCAAUCCUGAUUUGGCCAGCGUUUGUAUCUGGCCAUUAGGUAAAGGACAUCUCUGUUAUCUUCCUCCUAGGGGCUCCGAGGGCGCCAGCUGCGGCAUUUCUUCAAAGGGGCGUUAUUGAACUCAGGAAGGCCCAUCCGAACAGGGUCCGGAAGGGGGACGUCCUCCAUAUAAAACCACUCCGAAGGCCAGUCUUCGGAUGUCUUCUUCGGAGUACCGGACAGGUAUCCGGUCCCGGCGAUGCGCCAUAUCUCGGCUCCGCCCACUUGAUAUAUCGACCCCUCCUGUGUACGGUGUACGAGGCAGAAUAGCCUCUUCCAUAGCUCGAAAUGAGCUUCACAGCCCAAAAACAGCUCGCAAAGGGCGACAUAGCCUGCGAUGUAUAAUAUGGAGGCAGGAGUAAAAUUAUGCAGCUGGAGGCCGUAGACCUCCAGGAGCCCGCGGAGGAAUGGAUGGAUUGGAAAUCCAAGUCCCCUUAACAAAUACGGGACAAGGCAUACCCGCUCCCCCAUAGACGGGUUGGGAAAGCUCUUCGCUUGUUCCCCGCCAUUGUAAGUGGCUACUCCAGCUCGGACGGGGGCCAUAUGCGCAGGAGGAAGAAACCCCUAGGACUGUAACUCUACUAACUGUCUGUGGGAAACGGAACACUUCUUCCAGUUGCCUGGCUUAGGGCUACGGAAGCGAGAGGAGGAGCUGCGACGACCGGCCAUGAUAGGAUGGAUUUUUUCGGGCACGCUCCAAUGGAUACUCGCUGAGGGAGGAUGGUGUGAUCUGGAUCUGAGGAUCCCCGGUCCCUUAAAUAGACGAUUUACUCACAUGGUUAGGGUGGCAAGUGCAAAAAUGCCCCGACUUCUCGCAUUCGCUCGACACGUGGAGGAUAGCCAUUAUUAGGCACAGAAGCCGAAGAAUGCAACAUUUGCAGGAAGCCGGACACUACUCGGCAGGUACUCAGAAUUUGGGGAAGAACCCGCCUUGCAAUGCCGAAGACAAUCUGCGCGCCGGACUCAUCGUCAUUGAAGCCUGGUUCGGGGGCUACUGAGGGAGUCCUGGAUUAGGGGGUCCUCGGACAGCCGGACUAUAUCCUUUGGCCGGACUGUUGGACUAUGAAGAUACAAGAUUGAAGACUCUGUCCCGUGUCCGCAUGGGACUCUCCUUCGCGUGGAAGGCAAGCUUGGCAAUACGGAUAUGUAGAUCUCCUCCUUUGUAAACGACUUUGUGUAACCCUAGCCCCCUCCGGUGUCUAUAUAAACCGGAGGGUUUAGUCCGUAGGACAACAACAAUCAUACCAUAGGCUAGCUUCUAGGCUUUAGCCUCUACGAUCUCGUGGUAGAUCAACUCUUGUAAUACUCAUAUCAUCAAGAUCAAUCAAGCAGGAAGUAGGGUAUUACCUCCAUCGAGAGGGCCCAAACCUGGGUAAACAUCGUGUCCCCCGCCUCUUGUUACCAUCCGCCUUAGAUGCACAGUUCGGGACCCCCUACGCGAGAUCCGCCGGUUUUGACACCGACAUUAGGCAGCAUUCCACAUAAAAAAAUUGUUUUUAUCACUUACCUACUCGAGGACGAGUAGGAGUUAAGCUUGGGGAUGCUAAUACGUCUCCAACGUAUCUAUAAUGUUUAAUUAAUCCAUGUUGUUAUAUUAUCAAUCUUAGAUGUUUUAUAAUCAUUUUAUAGUCAUUUUAUAUCAUUUUUGGUACUAACCUAUUAGCAUAGUGCAAAGUGCUAGUUGCUUUUUCUGCAUGUUUUUUACAUCGCAGGAAAUCAAUAUCAACGAAACUUCACGGAUAUUUCUUAUGGACCAGAAGACACGUAAUGGGCCCUGGCUGUGCCUGGGGGUGCUCUGAGGAGAGCACAACCCACCAGGGCGCCCCAGGAAGCCCAGGCGUGCCCUGGUGGGUUGUGCCCACCUCGGGUGCCCCCGGACUGAAGGAAAUAUCACUAGUAGAAAAAGGGCCUUUAGUCCCGGUUCAUAAGGGCCUUUAGUCCCGGUUCAUAAGGGCCUUUAGUCCCGGUUCUGGAACCGGGACUAAAGGGUCGUUACUAAAGCCUCCCCCUUUAGUCCCGGUUCUUACACGAACCGGGACUAAAGGCCCUCCACGUGGCCGCUGCCUGGAGGUCCACCUUUAGUCCCGGUUGGUAACACCAACCGGGUACUAAAGGAAAUUUUAUGAUUUUUUUUUUGAAAUUUUUUUUUGAUUUUGUUUUUGAUUUUGAAAUUUCUGAAUUAUUUUAGCCUCUAAUCUCUAAUCACCCCUCAUCACUGCUCAAUUUAACCUCUAAUCUCUAAUCACCCCUCAUCAUUCCAAAUCAUCUAACUUCCCGGACGGUCACCCAUCCUCUCACUACUCCAGCCUGAGCACGCUUAACUUCCGGGUUCUAUUCUCCCUCGUUUCCAAGUCUGCACUUGUUGUUUUCCUGACAAUAGUAAGAUGUCAAUCCUAUUAACCCUCGGGAAUUUAGCUUGAGCAUGAAGUCACACAUUUCACUGUUUGAGUUUGAAACUAUUGUUCUAAAAAAAAUUAUUUAGUAACACUAAUAUUUCUUGAAUAAGUAGUUUGACCAUAGUUUGACCACAGUUUGACCAGAUUUGACCAAAAUUCAAAAAAACUGAAAUAAUUAUUUAGCAACACUAAUAUUUCUUGAAUAAUUAGUUUACCAUUGUUUGACCACAGUUUGACCAGAUUUGACCAAAAUUCAAAAAAACUGAAAUAAUUAUUUAGUAACACUAAUAUUCUUGAAUAAUUAUUUAGUAACACUAAUACUUCUUGAAUAAGUAGUUUGACCAUAGUUUGACCAGAUUUAACAAAAAUUCAAAAAAAACUGAAAUUUGAGCAUAACUUUUUUCCUUUUAGAAUUUGAGGAUUCUAAAAAUUUGCAAACAGGCCGUAGGCUGUCAAAAUCGGAUGCGGAUUUUCAUGCUGAACAUUUUGAAAUAUUAUACGUUUUUUCUGACAUCGUAUGCAAAAGUUAUAACCGUUUACAUUUUCCCUACACUUUUUGCAAAACAUGUCCAAAUUUAAGUUUUUAAAUUUUCCUAACUAGUACAUGUAGCAACAUAACUACAUCUGGAAGGAUUUUAAUUUUUGAAGUUUUUAUCAUUUUCUUUUGCUUUUUACAAAACUGAAAAGGCGAUCCACAGGGGGGGUAGAGUUUGAAAAUGGGACCUUUAGUACCGGUUCGUGCCAUGAACCGGUACUAAUGCCUCAAACCCCAUUAGUACCGGUUGGUGGCUCGAACCGGGACUAAAGGUCUAACCUUUAGUACCGGUUGGUGCCACGAACCGGUACUAAUGGGCAUCGCACCCUUUAGUCCCGGUUCGUGGCACCAACUGGGACUAAAGGUCCCAUUUGAACCGGGACUAAUGCCUGUACGGUGCCCUAGCCGCUCGAACCGGGACUAAUGCUCACAUUAGUCCCGGUUCGUAAUGCAACCGGGUUUAAUGCUCUUUUCUGGCCGAACCAAAGCCCUGUUUUCUACUAAUGUAUGCCCUAGAGGAAAUAAUAAAGUUGUUAUUUAUAUUUCCUUAUAUCAUGAUAAAUGUUUAUUAUUCAUGCUAGAAUUGUAUUAACCGGAAACUUAGUACAUGUGUGAAUACAAAGACAAACAGAGUGUCACUAGUAUACCUCUACUUGCCUAGCUCGUUAAUCAAAGAUGGUUAAGUUUCCUAGCUAUAGACAUGAGUUGUCAUUUGAUUAACGGGAUCACAUCAUUAGAGCAUGAUAUGAUUGACAAGACCCAUCCGUUAGCUUAGCACAAUGAUCAUUUUAGUUUGUUGCUAUUGCUUUCUUCAUGACUUAUACAUGUUCCUAUGACUAUGAGAUUAUGCAACUCCCGAAUACCGGAGGAACACUUAGUGUGCUAUCAAAAGUCACAACAUAACUGGGUGAUUAUAAAGAUGCUCUACAGGUGUCUCCAAUGGUGUUUGUUGAGUUGGCGUAGAUCGAGAUUAGGAUUUGUCACUCCGAUUGUCGGAGAGGUAUCUCUGGGCCCUCUCGGUAAUGCACAUCACUAUAAGCCUUGCAAGCAAUGUGACUAAUGAGUUAGUUGCGGUAUGAUGCAUUACGGAAUGAGUAAAAUGACUUGCCGAUAACGAGAUUGAACUAAGUAUUGAGAUACCGACGAUCGAAUCUCGGGCAAGUAACAUAUCGAUGACAAAGGGAACAACGUAUGUUGUUAUGCGGUUUGACCGAUAAAGAUCUUUGUAGAAUAUGUGGGAUCCAAUAUGAGCAUCCAGGUUCCGCUAUUGGUUAUUGACGGAGAUGAGUCUCGGUCAUGUCUACAUAGUUCUCGAACCCGUAGGGUCCGCACGCUUAACGUUCGGUGACGAUCGGUACUAUGAGUUUAUGUGUUUUGAUGUACCGAAGGUUGUUCGGAGUCCCGGAUGUGAUCACGGACAUGACGAGGAGUCUCGAAAUGGUCGAGACAUAAAGAUCGAUAUAUUGGAAGGCUAUGUUUGGACACCGAAAUGGUUCCGAAUGAGUUCGGGCAUUUUCCGGAGUACCGGGAGGUUGCUGGAACCCCCCGGGGAGUCAAUGGGCCUUAUUGGGCCUUAGUGGAAGAGAGGAGGAGGCGGCCAGGUGGAGGGCGCGCCCACCCUAGGCCCAAUCCGAAUUGGGGUGGGGGUCGGCCCCCCUUUCCUUCUCUCCCUCUCCCUCUUUCUUCUUCUCCUACUCCAACUAGGAAGGGGGGAAACCUACUCCUACUGGGAGUAGGACUCCCCCCCUUGGGCGCGCCCUAUGAGGGUCGGCCCUCUCCUCCUCCCCUCCUUGAUAUACGGGGAGGAGGGCACCCCAUAGGCACACAAGUUGACAGUUGUCUUAGCCGUGUGCGGUACCCCCCUCCACAGAUUUCCACCUAGGUCAUAUCGUUGUAGUGCUUAGGCGAAGCCCUGCGUCGGUAACUUCAUCAUCACCAUUAUCAUGCCGUCGUGCUGACGAAACUCUCCCUCGGCAUCUGUUGGAUCAAGAGUACGAGGACGACACCGAGCUAAACGUGUGCAGAUCGCGGAGUUGCCAUGCGUUCGGUACUUGAUCGGUUGGAUCGCGAAGACGUUCGACUACAUCAACCGCGUUACUUAACGCUUCUGCUUUCGGUCUAUGAGGGUACGUGGACACACUCUCCUGCUCGUUUCUAUGCAUCACCUAGAUGGAUCUUGCGUGUGUGUAGGAAAUUUUUUGAAAUUACUGUGUUCCCCAACAGUGGCAUCCGAGCCAGGUUUAUGCGUAGAUUUUAUAUGCACGAGUAAAACACAAAGAGUUGUGGGAGAUAAUUGUCGGCGUUCUGGGAACGGGGGUCCCCAGACUUGCCUGCCUGCGGCCCACGGCGUGGCUGUGCUAGCAGGCCAUACGGCCCAUCUUCAUCAGCAAGCCGUUCAAGACCCUCGCGAGGGGCCAAGCCUCGUGGGGCAGACGACGCAAGACCUCCUCCGGAGCGGCCUCUCCAGGCAGGCUCACAAGGAGCGGAGAUAUCAAGGCGGGGGAAACCUCGCGACGCUCGCGUGACGUGAGCCAUGACGAUCGACACUAGGCGAGCGCCAGGUGGGCGCCAGCGCGCGCAGCAUCCUUGUUUCCUCUUUGGUGCUAAGGAGGCUGGCGCAGGCGCGGAGUACCGAGGCAUCAAGCAAAGGUUUCCAUAUCGGUGCAAUGAGACCGAAGACCAGCAGGACAACAAGACGGAGGUCACCAUGGAGCCCAAGACGGCGUCACCACCAGAGCCUUUCGCAGGCGAAGACCACUUUUGUCAGGAUAGCUUGUACUAGCUGUCCCCCUUCAAAAUUGCCCACCGUUCUUGGCUCCCUUCCCGCUCAAUAUUCGGGGAGAGGACCAGGGCCUAUAUAAGUAGAACUAGCCACCAUAGUAGAGGCAUCGGAUCAGAUCCAGAGCCAACCCCUAGCCUCACACCAAACACAAGAACACCUCAACCUCAGGAGGUUGUUCUUCCCCUUGUACUGGUCAUCAUCAGCUCAAGAGGCAAUCCACCACCACCACACUCGAGUAGGGUAGUACACCGCAAUGGUGCCCCGAACUAGUAUAAACCAUGUGUCUUUUUGUGUUGCGAGUUCGUCGAGUUCGUCCGCGAGAUCUUAGCGAGCUAGGGCGUAGAUUGGUAGGAGGGAAAGAACUUCGCGCGCACCCCAGAGUUUGAACCUUAAGGAUUUUGCUGGAACCCCAGAUCCGACAUUUGGCCCGCCAGGUAGGGGGCACCGUAGCUUCCCUUCCGUCGAUCGGCGCUCCGUCGCUCCAUCGUUUCCAUGGCAGACGCUCGCCGCGCUCAAGCUGAGCGUCGGGCUGCCCUCACCACCCGCGUUGCUCAGACGGCUCCCGUCGGCGGGCCACCUCGUCGUUCUCCGUCUCCUGCCGCCAACGCCGCCACUGGCCCGGCGGGGAACGAGCAGCAAGCGUCCUCGCUGCACCCAUCGGUGCGGCAGGACGGCCGCACCGCCACUCCAUCGCUGACCCCGGCCAGUUCUUCGUCCCAUGCACGUCGCGCUCCCAUGGACGCACGGGCCGCGCUCCUCAUGGCGAACGAGCUCCUGCACUACCGUCUGGUCGACGACCUCUACGAGGACUGGCUCGACCGCGUCGCCGAGCUCGUCCGCACCGCAGGGGGCUCCCCAGCGCCGUCCCUCUCUCUGCCUCACCCUCCGCCAGCCACGGGCGAUGUGGCUCAUGGAGCGCCUCCACCACCUCUGCCCCAAGACUGUGCCUUGGCGCCAAGGUGCACGGCCCCAAGGCGCGAUCCACCAUGCCCGGUGCCCGCGCGCGAAGAGAUAAGCUGCCAAGAAAUUCCUCGGCCAUGAGGAGCGGCACCUGCGCUCCCUGCGCCGCCUCGCCAAGACCGCGCGCUGCCUACGGUGGCGGCGCGCGGACCUCAUCAAGACCAAGCUCCACCACUGAGAUGGGCCCCGGCGACCAUGGCCAGCUGUCGCGCCUUCACCCCCGAGCUGCGUAGCGUCGCCUGGCCAGGCAAGUUCAAGCCAGAUCUGCCCCCUCGCUACGUCGGCACCGCCGACCCCGUGGAGUUCCUGCAGCUCUACGAGCUAAGCAUCGAAGCAGCCAACGGCGAUGAGAAAGUCAUGGCGAACUGGUUUCCUAUGGCCCUCAAGGAUGGUGCCCGCUCCUGGCUCUUGAACCUGCCGCAGGGCUCGAUCUCCUCCUGAGACGAGAUGCGCGACCGCUUCGUCGCCAACUUCCAGGGCACCCGCGACCGCCCGCCGGCCGCAGGCGACCUGCGCCGCAUCAAGCAACAACCAGGAGAGACCCUCCAGAAGUACAUCCAGCGCUUCAACAACACUCGUCUCAAGAUCCCCAAGGUCACGGAUGAGGCCAUCAUCUCCGCGUUCUCCGAUGGCGUCCGCGACAUCAAGAUGAAGGAAGAGCUUGCUAUCCAUGAGGAGCUGUGCACAUCUCAGGAGCUGUUCAACCUAGCAACCAAGUGCGCAAGAGCUGAGGAGGGGUGCCUUUCCCUCCUUGAGCUGUCAGCUACGGGUGUAGAGGAGAAGAAGGCUAAGGCCAAGGACGUGAAGCGCAAGGAAGCAGCUGUGCUCGCAGCGGAGCCCGACACCAAGCGAGGCAGAGAUCAGCCCGUGUCAUCCAAGAACAGUCGGCCGUUCUGCGCCUUCCACAACCUAAACACCCACAAAACCAGUGACUGUCAAGAGCUCAGAGCCAUUCGCGAUGGACGCUAUGGUCGACGCCCCGAACGCAGCGACCGGGGCUACGGCCGAGGAGGAGGACGUGGUGGCGGACGCUAGGACGACCGUGGCCUGCGCCAGGAGUGGCGCGACCGGCCUCGUGAGGACCACUGGCAGGAUCAUCCUCGCGAGGGUGCCUGGAGAGACCAGCCUCGUGAGGAUCGCCCCCAGGGCAACGCCGGUCUUCCCCCGCUGCCGCCACCGCCAAGAAGGAACGACGGCCACCAUCUAGACGAGGGGGCUGGGGGCUUCCAGGAGCCGCGUGCUAUCGCUUGCAUCUUGGGCGGAGCCCAGGCCCCAGCCUCGCAGCGUAUCUUCAAGCAGUUUGCUCGUGAAGUGAAUGCAGUCCUCCCCAAGCUCGAGGCCACACGCCCACUCAGAUGGUCCCAGUGCCCCAUCACGUUCAGCUCGGCGGAUCAGCUCAAGUGCGCGGCUACUGCUGGCGCCCUCCCGAUGCUUUGCUCACCAGUCAUCAGCAACGUGCAAGUCACCAAGACCCUCAUCGACGGCAGCGUAGGGCUCAACGUCAUGUCCGUCGAUAUGUUCGACAACCUCCAAGUCCCAUAUGACCAGCUUCAUCCUACCACGCCCUUCUCAGGAGUGACUGAUGGUUCCACCACACCGAUAGGGCAGGUCUGCCUCCCUGUCACCUUCGGGGAACGCAAGAAUUACAGCACCGAGCUCAUCGACUUCGACGUCGCGCACAUCCGUCUGUCAUACAACGCCAUCCUUGGGUAUCCAGCCCUAGCCAAGUUCAUGGCCGUCACCCACCACGGCUACAACGUCCUCAAGAUGCCGGGAAGCGGCGGAAUCAUCACGGUCCCAUGUGAAGAGAGAGAUGUAGUGUGCUCCCUCGAGCGCGCCUUCCAAGCUGCAGCAAUCGAUGACCCCGACAGCAAAAGUGAGGGACCUCCAGAGGCCAUCCCCAAGAAGAAUCAGCUGCGCCGAGCCGGACCUUAGGAGGGUGGCGUCGCGGCUGGAACCUCGUCAGGAUCAGCGCCCGCUCCAGGGGAGCCUCCCUCCAUCGCAUAGGAAGGCGCGCCCGGUGCCCUCCUCGGGUAGGGCUUGGGGGCUCUCUUCUGGAGGGCCUCAAACCUUGCCAACAUCACGAGGGAGGCGCUUGGGCACCACUUGGAGGCGUGCUUUGCGGCACGUUUCCCUCAGGAGAACACGGGGCAAGGAGCGCCCACCGCUCAGGAGUUCAUCACCAAGACCACUCAGGAAUUGCAAGACGCAAGGGCCAUGCACGGCGACCGCCGCUCAUGAGGCACAGCUCCCCAUCCAGACGAGGAUGACGGGCUGCGCGUCUGCAUCGACGUUCCAGGGCUCAACAGGGCCGCUUCUCAGGAGCUCUUCUAGCCUUCGCGCGCGGGGAGCUGCAAGGGUCCACCGCACAGCUACAUUCGCAUGCCCUUUGGCCUGCCGAGCGUGUCGUCAGCCUAUCAGCGCAACAUGCAGCGUAUCCUGGCGGCUCGGGAGGCCAGGCACCACGCCGUCUUGGCGGAGAUGGAGACGGUCCUCUAGGAACCACCUGAGUCCUCAGAGCCUCCCGAUGCUCAAGGCCCCGGUGGCUCAUGAGGAGCUACCCCUUCGUGCACGCCUUCAGCUGCCUCAACUCUCCUUCGUCGACAGAACCAGGUGACAUUUUCCAAGUUCAUUUAGCUGGGAGCGCCCCUCGGGCUGCAUUAUUCCCAGGCCGUGUGGGUCCGUCCCUGUGGCGUGUAUCCUUUUCUUAUGUCUUUAGCUUACCUUGCUGGGGGCGCCCCUCGGGCUGCAUCAUCCCCAAGCUGCUCGGGCCUGACCCAGUGGCAUGUAUCUUCCUACAUUUACCCAAGCCGAUUUGCCUUCCAUGCUUAAUCUGCCCGAUUACUGCCUGCCACGGGUCCACCCCUCUAUCAUGCAAUUCGCUUGCGCAUUAAAAGGGGGGCUCCUGAGCAUCGCGACUCAGGAGCUCUUACUGGCUCUCCAGCCCUCACCCCCUAGCCUUGACCACGGCAUCGCGACCUGGCAUACCAGCGGCAGCUGAGCUCACUCGAGGGCCGGGACCUGAGGACAUAGAGCGCUUGCACCUAACUAUCUCGCAGGAACGCACAGCUAUCAAAGACUCAAGACCAGGCGCAACCCGCCUUGAGGUAGGGCCUCGUGAGUCCUGCGCUGGCUCACGAGUGCCCAGAUACACCUCGCAGCCCUGAUGUGCAAGCCACGUGUCAGGGCGGGGUUGUACACGCCCCGAGGGCUCCUCCUGGAGGGGGGGGGGCCCUCCCAUGCACAAGUGGAAGCACCAUGCUCCGCGCUGGCCGUCGACACUACCGAGGAGCGGCUAUGCCUGUGCACAAGCGGAAGCACUAUGCUCCGCGCUGGCGAUAAACAACUGAGGGCAGCUCCAAGGUCGUACCAACCUCAGGGAGUCCCAGAGCUCAGCGUCCGGCCUCACCGCAAUGCCUCCCCUCGGGAGAGCCACGCGAGGGGGCUGGACACGGGGGCUGCGCUCGGGUCACGCCCAAGCGUACACCAUCCAACCAGGUCUCCCGGGCCUGGGGGCUGCGCUCGGGUCACGCCUAAGCGCACGCUGCUCAAACAGGUCUCCCGGACCUGGUCGUCGCACGCCCCUCCCGAGGCCUCGGCGAGGGUAGGUAUGGAAAUUAUUUGCGCAUCAAGGGGGACUCCUGAGCAUCGCGACUCAGGAGCCUAACUAGUCACGUAGCCCCUCACUCCUUGGUCCGUCCUGGUCUCCGGUCGGCCCAAUGGCGGUUGAGGUAUUUGCGGGGCCGGGCUCUGCCGAUGUAGAACAUUAAUCUAUCCUCGCGUACUCUUCCUGUAAGCUAUUUGUGCAUCAAGGGGGACUCCUGAGCAUCGCGACUCAGGAGCCUAACUGGUCACGUAGCCCCUCAUUCCUUGGUCCGUCCUGGUCUCCGGUCGGCCCAACGGCGGUUGAGGUAUGCGCGGGGCUGGGCUCUGCCGAUGCAGAACACAAAGUGAAUAGGAAGAAAAUCGCAAAAUCUCGAAGCAAAUAUUACAAAACAUAUUGUCCUCAGAAUAUCAAAGGAAAGUUUAACGCCUCCACGAGGCCUGAUGCGUAUUACAGGAAUGAAACUGGAGAGUAGCUGCAGGUCACCCCUGGACGCCGUCAUCGCCUGCGGAAGGUGCUCCUCCCCGGGUAACGUCGCCUUCACCUGCACCACCUGCUGCAGGAUCUGCGGCGUUGCCGGACAAGGGUGCGGAGGCAAAGCCGUGGAACUUCUUCAGCAGGGCCUCCACCUGGCCUUGCACGGUUGCGGCGGCAGCUGCGCAGUGAACAUCAGCCACAGGCUCUAGCAGCUCGCCAAGACAAGCGCUGGGGUCGCGAAGGUGCAGAUGGCCGAAGACACGAGUCAAUGCAGCUGAAGACAGGACGCGAGCUUCUGCCUCUGCCAUGGGACCGAUACCAUCCACGACUUCCUCAAGCGGUUUCACCAAGAGAGGAAGCAGCCGGGCGGGGCUGUCCUCAUCGGUGGUCAGCGGCCUCUCUAGGCCGUGCUCGUAGAGCAUCUUCAGUGCUGCGCAGGACCUCUCCUCGAGAUCGGCAAAGGCCACGCGGUCUUCGGCCAGGACCCGCGCCUUGGCGUCAAGAUCGGCCUCCCUCGCCUUCACCUUCCGCUCCAGUUCUUCCAACCGGCUGCGCUCGGCAGCCUGCGUCCUCUCCAACUCCCCCAGCUCAGCGUCACGGUUCUUGACGGCAUCCUCCCGUGCCCUCAUCUCCUCCUUCUUCGCCUGGCGGCUGCGUGUUUCUUUGGCGUGCUUAUCGCGCAGGCUCUUCAGCUCGUCCUCCAGCUCUUGACAGUGGUCGCGGGCGACCUUGACGUCUUUCAGUGCCGCCUCGCGAUCGGCUGCAGCAUUGGCGGCGCUCUGCUUCUCCUUCUCGGAAGACGCCGCGGCCUGGCUCAGCGUCGCGCGAACCGCCGAGUCGGAGUGAAGCCAUCCGGAGGCCAACUCCAGGCGCCCGGCUACCAGGCGCGGGUCCGCGCUCAGGAGAUCUGCCUGCAGCUGGGUCAUCUCCAAAAGAGCACGCUCCAGGACAGCAGCAGAAGCAGAAGAACCUGGGAGUGGAGUGCGGCAGCGGAAGGAGGCGACGUCGUCACCAGGGCCUGGGAGGCUACAGGUUCUAGAGCGGUCGGAACCACAUCAGCCGAGCCAGACGCCGGUACCUCCGGAGCCAGCGGGGCCAAGGGGGCUGACUCUCACGAUGGUGCUCUCCUUGGCCUCGCGAGGGCGACCGGGUUGGGGAAGUGUGAGUGUUGCUGCCUCCUUUCUCUGCGGAGGGAGGCGCGGCCGCCGUAUCCUCCUUCCUUUUCUUCGCCGAAGGCAUCGGCCUAAUCAACCAAGGGUGAACGUCAGGAAAUAACAAGUACAACCAGGGACAAGACGAAGCUCAAGGCACUUACCGAUCCACCGCGACGUAUUCUACCUUCCGCUUGGGAAGCUUGAAGCCUGAAAGCGUCGGGGCCUGAGAAGUGGGCGCGCGGGCCCCGGCGGUAGAAGGCGGCGCAGCAGAAGGGCCGGAGCCGGCCCCGGGAGGUGUCAAGACGGAGGCGGCGUCUCGGGGAACCAAUGAUGACCUACCCCUUGUCGGGAUGAGGGGCUGCUCCCUCUCCUCCUGGCGAGCGUCGGCCUCGGCGUCGUCAGGAAGGGCGCGGAGGAUCUCAGCCUUGCUCAAAGGAGGAGUCUCCCCCACCUCUUCAAGAGUCUUCUCCGAGUCCACCUCCUCUUCCUCCUCCCCACGGGACUCGUCAGAGGACACCUCCACCGGCUUCGGUGCUGCGGGGGCUCCUGUGGGGGCCAGCGGCACCAGCCCGUGCGCGUCGAAGGUCGGCCUGGAGGCGACAGAUUCCUCCCAGUCCUUGCGAUGGAACAAAGGAACGAAGGCGCUCGGCGGGUUCUCCUGGUUGUCCCCAACUAUGAGGCGCAGGACAGCAGCCAGUUCGUCGCCAGGCAGGGCCCCUGACCUCAGGCGGGGCUUGUCCCUUUCACCUCCAAGCUUCCACAGGGGGCGCGCGCGUGCCUGAAGUGGAGCAACUCGCAGCAUCAAGAGCUCCCUCAGCAGCAUGACCCCCGUCACCUUGGCCGCCUUCGCGUUGCCCGGCUUCAAGUCGGUCGUCAUCUGCCCCAACAUAGACAACGCUCGCUCAUCAGCGAGCUCUGCACGGGGCCACCCCUUGUUGAACUGGGGCGCCUCCAUUGGCAACACCAAACGCGGAUGGGCGCACUUGGCGUCCAUCAUGACCCAAUUGGCUCGGAUGUUGUCGGCCCUCUUCCCGGUGCUCGAGAUUGAGUUGGCCUUGCCAGAUGCGACGAAAUUGGUGCACCUGGAGAUGUGUCCAUCGUUGACGCGAAGGAAGAAGAAGUGGCGUAGAAGCGCCACGAAUGGCAUCACGCCCAGGUACGCCUCACAGUAGUAGGCAAAGAUGGACAGGAGGAGGAUAGAGUUGGGAUGGAGGUGCAACGCCUGUAGACCGUAGUGGUCGAGGGCCUCAUAAAACAAAUCGGAGAAGGGGGGAACCAACCCGACGACGAUGCUGCUCGAGAAGAAGGGGAAGAAGGUGCUUCCCUCAGGCUCCGGCACGUCGGAUGCAAGCCGGAGCUCCGUCUUCCCCCACUCAUUGCUCUCCCCCGCCGUCAGAAGGCGCGCGGAGGCGAGGCUCUUCUUUGUGACGGUGGGCGCUUCAAGAGCUGGCUCAUACCAAGCUGGUGCCGAGGAGGUCUUGACCUUGCGCGGCGCCAUGGGUCGCAGAUGCGGAGCAAGAUUGGAGCGGAUCUGGAGGUAUCGGUGGCGAGGAGCGAGAAAGGGGAUCUGGAGCGAGGCAAGGAAGAAGCAAUGAAGGCAGGUACUGUCUGCGCCAGCCUUUUGUCAAGUCGGGAAGUUGCCGAGGCAGCGUGGGGAAGCGGAGACACCCACGUCCAAUCAACCGCCGUGCGUCGACCAAGGCCGCAGGCUUUUGGGGCCCGCGGCGCUCCGUGCUUGACCUUUGGCUUUGCCUCGAAGCCAUGCCCGAGCGCGCCUUGGGCCCGGGGGCUACUGUCGGCGUUCUGGGAACGGGGGUCCCCAGACUUCCCUGCCUGUGGCCCACGGCGUGGCUGUGCUAGCAGGCCGUACGGCCCAUCUUCAUCAGCAAGGCGUUCAAGACCCUCGCGAGGGGCCAAGCCUCGCGGGGCGGACGACGCAAGACCUCCUCCGAAGCAGCCUCUCCAGGCAGGCUCACGAGGAGCGGAGAUAUCAAGGCGGGGGAAACCUCGUGAGGCUCGCGUGACGUGAGCCAUGACGAUCGACACCAGGCGGGCACCAGCGCGUGCAGUGUCCUUGUUUCCUCUUUGGUGCUAAGGAGGCAGGCGCAGGCGCGGAGUACCGAGGCAUCAAGCAAAGGUUUCCAUAUCGGUGCAACGAGACCGAAGACCAGCAGGACGGCAAGAUGGAGGUCAGCAUGGAGCCCAAGACGGCGUCACCACUAGAGCCUUUCGCAGGCGAAGACCACUUUUGUCAGGAUAGCUUGUACUAGCUGUCCCCCUUCAAAAUUGCCCGCCGUUGUUGGCUCCCUUCCCGCUCAAUAUUUGGGGAGAGGACAAGGGCCUAUAUAAGUAGAACUAGCCACCAUAGUAGAGGCAUCGGAUCAGAUCCAGAGCCAACCCCUAGCCUCACACCAAACACAAGAACACUUCAACCUCAGGAGGCUGUUCUUCCCCUUGUACUGUUCAUCAUCAGCCCAAGAGGCAAUCCACCACCACACUGGAGUAGGGUAUUACACUGCAACGGUGGCCCGAACCAGUAUAAAUCUCGUGUCUUUCUGUGUUGCGAGUUCGUCGAGUUCGUCCGCGAGAUCUUAGUGAGCUAGGGCGUAGAUCGGUAGGAGGGAAAGAACUUCGCGCGCACCCCAGAGUUUGAUCCUUAAGGGUUUUGCCGGAACCCCAGAUCCGACAAUAAUAGUCAUACUGCUUACCAGCAUGUCAUACUUUGAUUCGGUGGUAUUGUUGGAUGAAGCGGCUCAGAGCGACAUUACGCGUACGCUUAUGCGAGACUGGUUCUACCGACGUGCUUCGCACACAGGUGGCUCGUGGGUGUCUGUUUCUCCAAAUUUAAUUGAAUCGAGUGUGACUAUGCCUGGUCCUUGUUGAAGGUUAAAACAACACACUUGAGGAAAAAUCGUUGUGGUUUUUGAUGUGUAGGUAAGAACGGUUCUUGCUAAGCCCGUAGCAGCCACGUAAAAUCUACAACAACAAGUAGAGGAGGUCUAACUUGUUUUUGUAGGGCAUGUUGUGAUGUGAUAUGGUCAAGACGUGAUGAUAUAUAAAUUGUUGUAUGAGAUGAACAUGUUUUGUUACAGUUAUCGACAACUAGCAGGAGCCUUAUGGUUAUCGCUUUACUGUAUGAAAUGCAAUCGCCAUGUAAUUGCUUUACUUUAUCACUAAGCGGUAGCGAUAGUCGUGAUAGCAAUAGUUGGCGAGACGACAACGAUGCUUCGAUGGAGAUCAAGGUGUCAAGCCGGUGACGAUGGUGAUCAUAACGGUGCUUUGGAGAUGGAGAUCAAAGGAACAAGAUGAUGAUGGCCAUAUCAUAUCACUUAUAUUGAUUGCAUGUGAUGUUUAUCCUUUUAUGCAUCUUAUUUUGCUUAGUACGGCGGUAGCAUUAUAAGAUGAUCUCUCACUAAAUUUCAAGGUAUAAGUGUUCUCCCUAAGUAUGCACCGUUGCGACAGUUCGUCGUGCUGAGACACCACGUGAUGAUCGGGUGUGAUAAGCUAUACGUUCACAUACAACGGGUGCAAGCCAAUUUUGCACACGCGGAAUACUCGGGUUAAACUUGACGAGCCUAUCAUAUGCAGAUAUGGCCUCGGAACACUGAGAUCGAAAGGUCGAGCGUGAAUCAUAUAGUAGAUAUGAUCAACAUAGUGAUGUUCACCAUUGAAAACUUCUCCAUCUCACGUGAUGAUCGGACAUGGUUUAGUUGAUAUGGAUCACGUGAUCAUUUAGAUGACUACAGGGAUUUCUAUCUAAGUGGGAGUUCUUAAGUAAUAUGAUUAAUUGAACUUUAAUUUAUCAUGAACUUAGUCCUGAUAGUAUUUGCAUAACUAUGUUGUAGAUCAAUAGCUCGCGAUGUAGCUCCCCGUGUAUUUUUGAUAUGUUCCUAGAGAAAAACUAUGUUGAAAAAUGAGGGUAGCAAUGAUGCGGACUAGGUCCGUGAUCUGAGGAUUAUCCUCAUUGCUGCACAGAAGAAUUAUGUCCUUGAUGCACCGCUAGGUGACAGACCUAUUGCAGGAGCAGAUGCAGACAUUAUGAACGUUUGACAAAGCUCGGUAUGAUGACUACUUGAUAGUUUAGUGCACCAUGCUUUACGGCUUAGAACCGGGACUUCAAAAACGUUUUGAAUGCCACGGAGCAUAUGAGAUGCUCCAAGAGCUGAAAUUGGUAUUUCAGACUCAUGCCCGAGUCCAGAGGUAUGAGACCUCUGACAAUUACUUUGCCUACAAGAUGGAGGAGAAUAGCUCAACCAGUGAGCAUGUGCUCAGAAUGUCUGAGUACUCAAUCUCUUGAAUCAAGUGGGAGUUAAUCUUCCAGAUAAGAUAGUGAUUGAAAAAGUUCUCUAGUCACUGUCACCAAGUUACUGGAACUUCAUGAUGAACUAUAAUAUUCAAGGGAUGACGAAAAAGAUUCCCGAGCUCUUCGUGAUGCUGAAAUCAGCGAAGGUAGAAAUCAAGAAAAGCAUCAAGUGUUGAUGGUUGACAAGACCACUAGUUUCAAGUAAAAGGGCAAGGGAAAGAAAGGGAACUUCAAGAAGAAUGGCAAGCAAGUUGCCACUCCCAUGAAGAAGCCCAAAGCUAGACCCAAGCCUGAAACUGAGUGCUUCUACUGCAAAGAAAAUGGUCACUGGAAGUGGAACUGCCCUAGAUACUUGGCGGAUAAGAAGGAUGGCAAAGUGAACAAAGGUAUAUUGGAUAUACAUGUUAUUGAUGUGUACUCUUUACUAGUGUAUAUAGCAACCCCUCGGUAUUUGAUACUGGUUCAGUUGCUAAGAGUAGUAACUAGUUAAGGGCGAGGUGAUGAUGUGUGUUAGAAGUGAUUCCAAGGUUGAUAAGAUCACCAUCGCACACUCCCUUUACCUUCGGGAUUAGUGUUGAACCUAAAAUAAAUGUUAUUUGGUGUUUGCGUUGAGCAUGAAUAUGAUUGGAUCAUGUUUAUUGCAAUACGGUUAUUCAUUUAAGUCAAAGAAUAAUUGUUGUUCUAUUUACAUGAAUAAAACCUUCUAUGGUCAUACACUCAAUAUAAAUGGUUUAUUGAAUCUCGAUCAUAGUGAUACACAUAUUCAUAAUAUUGAAGCCAAAAGAUGCAAAGUUAAUAAUGAUACUGCAACGUAUAUGUGGCACUGCCAUUUAGGUCAUAUUGGUGUAAAGCACAUGAAGAAACUCCAUGUUGAUGGACUUUUGGAAUCACUUGAUUACAAAUCACUUUAUGCUUGCGAAUCAUGCCUCAUGGGCAAGAUGACUAAAGCUCCGUUCUCCGGAACAAUGGAGCGAGCAACUGACUAUUGGAAAUAAUACAUACUGAUGUAUGCGGUCCGAUGAGUGUUGAGGCUCGCGGCGGGUAUCGUUAUUUUCUGACCUUCACAGAUGAUUUGAGCAGAUAUGGGUAUAUCUACUUGAUGAAACAUAAGUCUGAAACAUUUGAAAAGUUCAAAAAAAUAUUCAGAGUAAAGUGGAAAAUCAUCGUAACAUGAAAAUAAAAGUUUCUACGAUCUGAUCGUGGAGGUGAAUAUUUGAGUUAUGAGUUUGGUCUUCAUUUGAAACAAUGUGGAAUAGUUUUCCAACUCACACCACCUGGAGCACCACAGCGUAAUGGUGUGUCCGAACAUCGUAACCGUACUUUUUUAGAUAUGGUGCAAACUAUGAUGUCUCUUACCGAUUUACAACUAUCGUUUUGGGGUUAUGCAUUAGAGAUAGCUGCGUUCACGUUAAAUAGGGCACCAUCUAAAUCCGUUGAGACGACACCGUAUGAACUAUGGUUUAGCAAGAAACCUAAGCUGUCGUUUCUUAAAGUUUGGGGCUGCGAUGCUUAUGUGAAAAAACUUCAACUUGAUAAGCUCGAACCCAAAUCGGAGAAAUGCGUCUUCAUAGGAUACCCAAAGGAAACUGUUGGGUACACCUUCUAUCACAGAUCCGAAGGCAAGAUAUUCGUUGCUCAGAAUGGAUCCUUUCUAGAGAAGGAGUUUCUCUCGAAAGAAGUGAGUGGGAGGAAAGUAGAACUUGAUGAGGUAAUUGUACCUUCUCCCAAAUUGGAAGGUAAUUCAUCACAGAAAUCAGUUCCAGUGAUGCCUACACCAAUUAGUGAGGAAGUUAAUGAUGAUGAUCAUGAAACUUCAAAUCAAGUUACUACUGAACCUCGUAGGUUAAACAGAAUAUGUUCACACCAGAGUGGUACGGUAAUCCUAUUCUGGGAGUCAUGUUACUAGACCAUGACGAACCUACGAACUAUGAGGAAGUGAUGAUGAGCCCAGAUUCCACGAAAUGGUUUGAGGCCAUGAAAUCUGAGAUGGCAUCCAUGUAUGAGAACAAAGUAUGGACUUUGAUUGACUUGCCCGAUGAUCGGUGAGCCAUUGAGAAUAAAUGGAUCUUCAAGAGGAAGACAGAUGCUGAUGGUAGUGUUACUAUCUACAAAGCUCGACUUGUCGCGAAAGGUUUUCGACAAGUUCAAGGUGUUGACUACGAUGAGAUUUUCUCACUCGUAGCGAUGCUUAAGUCUGUCUGAAUCAUGUUAGCAAUUGACGCAUUUUAUGAAAUCUGGCAAAUGGAUAAUAAAAAUGCACUCCUUAAUGGAUUUAUUAAAGAAGAGUUGUAUAUGAUGCAACCAGAAGGUUUUGUCAAUCCUAAAGGUUCUAACAAAAUGUGCAAGCUCCAGCGAUCCAUUUAUGGACUGGUGCAAGCAUCUCGGAGUUGGAAUAUACGCUUUGAUAGUGUGAUCAAAGCAUAUGAUUUUAUACAGAUUUUUGGAGAAGCCUGUAUUUACAAGAAAGUGAGUGGGAGCACUACAGCCUUUCUGAUAAGUAUAUGUGAAUGACAUAUUGUUGAUCAGAAAUGAUGUAGAAUUUUUCUGGAAAGCAUAAAGGAGUGUUUGAAAGGGUUUUUCAAAGAAAGACCUCGGUGAAGCUGCUUACAUAUUGAGCAUCAAGAUCUAUAGAGAUAGAUCAAGACGCUUGAUAAGUUUUUUCAAUGAGUACAUACCUUGACAAGAUUUUGAAGUAGUUCAAAAUGGAACAGUCAAAGAAGGAGUUCUUGCCUGUGUUGCAAGGUGUAAAGUUGAGUAAAGACUCAAAACCCGACCACGGCAGAAAUAGAAAGAGAAUGAAAAGUCAUUCCCUAUGCCUUAGUCAUAGGUUCUAUAAAAUAUGACAUGUUGUGUACCAGACCUAUUGUAUACCUUGUCCUGAGUUUGGCAAGGGAGUACAAUAGUGAUCUAGGAGUAGAUCACUGGAUAGCGGUAAAAAAAUAUCCUUGGUGGAAUAAGGAUAUGUUUCUUGGUUAUGGAGGUGACAAAAAGUUCGUCGUAAAAGGAUGCAAGCUUAACGUUCGGUGAUGAUCGGUAUUAUGAGUUUAUGUGUUUUGAUGUACUGAAGGUUGUUUGGAGUCCCGGAUGUGAUCACGGACAUGACGAGGAGUCUAGAAAUGGUCGAGACAUAAAAAUCGAUAUAUUGGAAGGCUAUGUUUGGACACCGGAAUGGUUUCGAAUGAGUUCGGGCAUUUUCCGGAGUACCGGGAGGUUACCGGAACCCCCCGGGGAGUCAAUGGGCGUUAUUGGGCCUUAGUGGAAGAGAGGAGGAGGCGGCCAAGUGGAGGGCGCGCCCCCCCUAAGCCCAAUCCGAAUUGGGGUGGGGGCCGGCCCCCCUUUCCUUCUCUCCCUCUUCCUCUUCCUUCUUCUCCUACUCCAACUAGGAAGGGGGAAAACCUACUCCUACUGGGAGUAGGACUCCCCCCCUUGGGCACGCCCUAUGAGGGUCGGCCCUCUCCUCCUCCCCUCCUUGAUAUAUGGGGAGGGGGGCACCCCAUAGACACACAAGUUGACAGUUGUCUUAGCCGUGUGCGGUGCCCCCCUCCACAGAUUUCCACCUCGGUCAUAUCGUUGUAGUGCUUAGGCGAAGUCCUGCGUCGGUAACUUCAUCAUCGCGUCAUCACGUCGUCGUGCUGACAAAACUCUCCCUCGGCCUCAGCUGGAUCAAGAGUACGAGGGACGUCACCGAGCUGAACGUGUGCAGAUCGCGGAGGUGCCGUGCAUUCGGUACUUGAUCGGUUGGAUCGCGAAGACGUUCGACUACAUCAACAGCGUUACUUAACGCUUCCACUUUCGGUCUACAAGGGUACGUGGACACACACUCCCGCUCGUUGCUAUGCGUCACCUACAUGGUUCUUGCGUGUGCUUAGGAAAUUUUUUGAAAUUACUGCGUUCCCCAACAUGGACCGCCUCUUUGCUCUAUAAAUACCCCAAUAUUCCCAAAACCCUAGGGGAGUGGAUGAAAUAUUCAUCCAGCCACCGCAGAAUCCAGAACCACCAGAUCCAAUCUAGACACCAUCUCGGAUGGGGUUCACCACCUCCAUUGGUGCCUCUCCGAUGAUGCGUUAGUAGUUCUUUGUAGAACUUCGGGUCCGUAGUUAGUAGCUAGAUGGCUUCAUCUCUCUCUCUCUGAAUUCUCAAUACAAUGGUCUCUUGGAGAUCCAUAUGAUGUAACUCUUUUGCGGUGUGUUUGUUGGGAUCGAUGAACUUUGAGUUUAUGAUCAGAUCUUUCUUUUUAUAUCCAUGAAAGUUAUUUGAGUUCCUUUGAUCUCUUAUAUGCAUGAUUGCUUAUAGCCUUGUAUUUCUUCUCCGAUAUUUGGGUUUUGUUUGGCCAACUUGAUCUAUUUAUCUUGCAAUGGGAAGAGGUGCUUUGUAGUGGGUUCGAUCUUACGGUGCUUGAUCCCAUUGAAAGAAGGGGAACCGACACGUAUGUAUCGUUGCUACUAAGGAUAAAAUGAUGGGGUCUAUCCUACAUAGAUAGAUCUUGUCUACAUUAUGUCAUCGUUCUUAUUGCAUUACUCUGUUUUUCCAUGAACUUAAUACACUAGUUCCAUGCUGAUAGCGGUCGAUGUGUGGAGUAAUGGUAGUAGAUGCAGGCAGGAGUCGGUCUACUAAUCUUGGACGUGAUGCCUAUAUAAUGAUCAUUGCCUAGGUAUCGUCAUGAGUAUUUGAAGUUCUAUCAAUUACCCAACAGUAAUUUGUUCACCCACCCUUUGCUAUUUUUCUCGAGAGAAGCCACUAGUGAAACCUACGGCCCCCGGGUCUCUUUCUCAUAUAUUUGCCUUUGCGAUCUACUUUUUCCUUGUAUUUAUUUUCAGAUCUAUUAAACCAAAAAUACAAAAAUACUUUGCUGCACUUUAUUUUAUUUGCGAUCUAUUUAUUCAAUCUAUUACAACUUUCUCCCGUCCACGCACCAAUUUCUGGCACGGUUACCCGAAAGGGAUUGACAACCCCUUUAACACGUCGGGUUGCGAGUGGUUGUUAUUUGUGUGCAGGGGUUGUUUACAUUGUGUUGCUUGGUUCUCCUACUGGUUCGAUAACCUUGGUUUCAACACUGAGGGAAAUACCUACCGUCGCUGUGCUGCAUCAUCCCUUCCUCUCUGGGGAAAUACCGACGUAGUCCUAGCAGACAUCAAGCGGCGCCACGCGGCGUUCACACCGCAGCGAUGGAGGAGGCGUCCGUCGGACCACCGGGUUUCUGGGCGAGUCGACGUGGGACCCCUUCGUCAGUCCUACAUGGCGGGCGUGCCCGGACGCCCCCAUAUCCGUCCCAUAUUGGGCUAGAUAUGUGGGGUGCCGGUCAGCCGGGCAUUUGAGGCCCGUUUGAGGGGGUCGUCUGGGUCAUAAAAACGUGACUGGUCAGUGACCGGGUGGCCCGCCCGGGCGUAUGUGACGCGUUUGGGGCACCCGGCUGUAGAUGCUCUCACAUGGCUUUAAAGUAAUGGUUUAAACUGAAUCCUCCAGGUUGCUUUCUCCUCUUCAGUGAUUCCUCCUCUUAUAAAAUCGACUUGCCUAAAUUGUAAAUUCAAUCGACUUAUGGCAUUUCUAAUCAAUCCCCUAAAGUUAAGGGAGUAAACGGCGGAGUAAAGUUAGUGAAGUAAAUUUUACUUCACUAACGCUGGCCGCGCCUAGCCGAUCUCCUAUAGUUAGUGGAGUAAAAAAUUGUAGAUUUUGUGUCCUAAUCGCACGAACUUCGAACACUACAUAAAUAUCUUAAAAACAUUCAAAUUAAAACAGACAUAGCAUUACCAUCAUAAUAUAAAGUUUCAUCAUCACAUUUUUCAAAUUAAAACAUCAUAAUAUAAAGUUUCAUCAUCACAUUUUUCAAAUUAAAACAUGCGAAGUUCACCCAAAAGACAUCAGUUCAAACACAAUGGUUGAUUCAAAAUCACCACAGACAUAGCAUGUAUAUGUUGUGGAUCGAGCCAACUGUUGGCAUCCUUGGCCUCCCCAUCGGCCACCACAACCCAAACCGGCGAAGAAAUCAACAUCAUCGCCGCCGCCACCCCCUUGGCCACCACCAUCCUCUCGACCACCAACAUCACCACCGCCAUCCUCUCGGCCACCACCAUCAACAUCAUCGCCGCCACCAUCCCCUCGCCCACCACCAUCAACACCACCUCCUCGGUCACCACCAUCAACACCACCCCUCGGCCACCACCAACAUUCCGAAGAGAGGCUUCCAAGAUCUCUCCCCGAGUGAGCUCCCAAUACUUUCUUGCGGUUUCAUCCAUUGUGUUUGGAUUCAUGAACAUCAUAGCGCGUUCCUCGAUCUUCUUGGCAUCAUGGAUCCUCUCCUCCUCAAGUGCAAGUCUACGCUCCUCCGCCUUCAACUUUCUCUCUUCGGCCAACGACUUCGUGAUACGUCUCCAACGUAUCUACUUUUUCUCACGCUUUUCCUCUUGUUUUGGACUCUAAUUUGCAUGAUUUGAAUGAAACUAACCCCGGACUGACGCUGUUUUCAGCAGAACUACCAUGGUGUUGUUUUUGUGCAGAAAUAAAAGUUCUCGGAAUGGAACGAAACUUUGCGAGGAUUUUUUAUAUCCAUAAUAAGAAUUUCUGGAGCCAAGACCCACCAGAGAGGGGGGGCCCUGGUUGGGCACAACCCACCAGGGCGUGCCCCCCUCUCCUGGCGUGCCCAGGUGGGUUGUGCCCACCUGGUGGCCCCGCAGACGACCCCCUGAUAUUAUAAAUUCACAUUAUUCCAGAAAAAAUCAGGGAGAAAGAAUUAUCGCGAUCCACAAGAUGGAGCCGUCGCCAAGCCCUGUUCUUCCUCGGGAGGGCAGAUCUGGAGUCCGUUUGGGGCUCCGGAGAGGGGGAUCUUCGUUCUUCGUCAUCACCAACCAAUCUCCAUCGCCAAUUCCAUGAUGCUCCCCACCGUGAGUGAGUAAUUCCUUCGCAGGCUCGCUGGUCGGUGAGGAAUUGCACGAGAUUCAUCAUGUAAUCGAGUUAGUUUUGUUAGGGCCCGAUCCCUAGUAUCCACUAUGUUCUUAGAUUGAUGUUGCUAUGACUUUGCUAUGCUUAAUGCUUGUCACUUUGGGCCCGGGUGCCAUGAACACAGAUCUGAACCGUUUAUGAAUUCAUAAUUAUAUCCAUGUUUUAGAUCCGAUCUUGCAAGUUAUAGUCACCUACUACGGUUAUGAUCCGACAACCCCGGAGUGACAACAACCGAGCCCACUCUCGGUGAUGACCGUAGUUUGAGGAGUUCAUGUAUUCACUAUGUGUUAAUGCUUUGUUCCAGUUCUCUAUUAAAAGGAGGCCUUAAUAUCCCUUAGUUUCCAAUAUGGACCCUGCCACAGGAGGGUAGGACAAAAGACGUCAUGCAAGUUCUUUUAAUAAAGCACGUAUGACUAUUUAUGGAAUACAUGCCUACAUUAUAUCGAUGAACUGGAGCAUUGCCGUAACGCCCUAGGUUAUAACUAUCACAUGAUGAAUAUCAUCCAACAAGUCACCGAUCCAAUGCCUACGAAUUUAUCCUUAUUGAUCUUGCUGCGUUACUAUUGCUAUCAUCAAUGUUACACUUGCUACAAAUUACUGCUAUCACCGUUACUGUUACCGUAGCCGUUGUCACUACUAUCAAAACUAUCAAACUACUUUGCUACUGAUCACUUUGCUGCAGAUAAUUAAUCUCCAGGUGUGGUUGAAUUGAAAACUCAGCUGCUAAUACCUUCAAAUAUUCUUUGGCUCCCCUUGUGUCGAAUCUAUAAAUUUGGGUUGAAUACUCUACCCUCGAAAACAGUUGCGAUCCCCUAUACUUGUGGGUUAUCAAGACCUUUUUCUGGCGCCGUUGUCGGGAAGCAUAGCUAUAUUUGUUGAGUCACUUGGGAUUAUUAUCAUAUUAUCACUAUGAAGAAUCUGAAGGAUCCAAAGACUAAGAUUUAUCCCUCAAACACGAGGGGAGGUAACGAACUGCCAUCCAGUUCUGCUUUAGAUUCACCUUUUGUUAUGAGUAAACUUGCAACACCACCACAUGCUAUCAAUUCUAAUAUGUCGCAAGUUAUUGAUGAUGCUACUUCGACUAUGAAUGAUGCUUAUGAUGAUGCUAGUACUAGGGAUGUAAAUGGUACGGAUAAUUUCUGUUUCGCAUCCGCUUCCGCAUCCGUUUUUAAGGAUAUGGUAUGCACUUACGCAAAUCUGGUGGAUAUGGAUGCGGAUACGGAUAUUGGUCAACCGGAUAUCCGGCGGAUACGGUAGAGGAUAUGGUAUUGGUAAUAUCCGGCGGAUAUGGAUUAUCCGAUAUUUUUUGUGCAUUAUCCGUGGUUGACAAAUGGGAUUAUCCGAUAAAUUUAGCCCAAUUAAGAAGCCCAAAUGCCCACGUGGACCACUAAUAAAAAUCACCACAUACAAAUAGAAUUUAACCUAAGCCUAGUAGGAGACCAGAAUCACAAUUCACACGCAGCCGUCGACCUUGCUCAUCUUAGCAUCGUCUUUUCUUGGGCCGUCGGCGGCGGCCGCAUCUCUCCGCCAAGUCGGCUGUCCGGCACAAUGAGCAAAUAUGCCGGCGUCGAUCCAAGCAACGGAGGUGAGCAAGCACUCUAACCUUUCAUGUUUUUAGAUGCAAUGAAUCAUGCAAGUUUAGGGCGUCGAAGGACGAAGGUAGGUAUGUUGUAUCCAUGAAUGCGUCCACGGCUCCACGCCAUGUAGGUGCAACUUCUCUUCUCUACAUGCACAGCGGGUCAUGAUGGUAGUCUAGUAGAUCACCGUGAGUGAAAUUGGUGCUGCUCGUGGCCAUGAUCUACACUACACCCAUACAUGACGAGGUCUGAACGGUGGUCUACAUACAUGCACACUUAGGAAUAUUGAGUAUGAACAAGUAUGAACAUUGGUAGUGGUUCCUUCUUCCUUGCAUGCAGUCACAUACAAGUAUGAAUACCAAGUUAAUUUGUAGUCGAGUAGAGUAGGCUUCAUCUUAGUAAACUACAAAACAUUAUGAAUCUAUGAUGUUUACUGUCUUACUUGCUACAGCGUCUAAGAUAUUAAUUCCUUUGAUCUUUCUAUAGAUCGUCUGAAAAAUAUAUCGGUAAAUCAUGUCUCUUUGCACGUAUCAUCCGAUAUUGUUUGGCCGUUUCCGGUCCGAAUCCGUAGUCCGGUAUAAUCCGCAUUCAAAUCCGCAUCCGGUCAUUAUCCGCUCCGCUCCGAAUCCGACGAAAAAAUAUGGUAAAGGAUAUGGUAAAAGCAUUAUCCGAUCCGAUCCGAUCCGUUUACAUCCCUACCUAGUACCUUGCUUGAUAAUGAUGAUGUGCCACUUGGUGAAUUUCUUGAUGAACAAAUUGCUAGAGUAAUACAACAUGAUGUUGUUGAAUCUGAUGAUGAGCUUGAAACUGAAACUCCUGAAACACUUGCUAGAACUAGCCUUCCUAGAUAUGAAUUGGCUAAUGUACCGGAAGGUUAUGCUAUGAGUGAAGAAGAAACUAGAGAUAUUCUUGCUUGUAAGGAUAGAGAUGAUCUAGAGAAAUUACUAUGCGAGUAUAAAGAAAAAUCUCUGAAUGCUAGAAUGAAAUGUGAUCCUAAGUUUGCUACUUCACCUAUCUGUAUUGCUGAUAAGGAUUAUGAAUUCUCUGUCGACCCAGAGUUAAUUACUUUGGUUGAAUCUGAUCCUUUCCAUGGUUAUGAAAAUGAAACUGUUGUGGCACAUCUUACUAAGUUGAAUGAUAUAGCCACCCUUUUUUACUCAUGAUGAGAAAACUCACUAUUACUUUAUUCUCAAAUUAUUUCCUUUAUCAUUAAAAGGUGAUGCUAAAGCUUGGUACAAUACUCUUACUCCUGGUUGUGUGCGUAGUCCCCAGGAUAUGAUUUAUUACUUCUCUGAAAAAUAUUUUCCUGCUCAUAAGAAACAAGCUGCCUUACAGGAAAUAUUUAUCUUUGUGCAGACUAAGGAAGAGAGUCUCCCACAAGCUUGGGGGAGGCUUUGCCAGUUACUUAAUGCUUUGCCAGAUCAUCCUCUUAAGAAAAAUGAAAUACUUGAUAUCUUUUAUAAUGGACUAACUGAUGCUUCUAGGGAUUUCCUAGAUAGUUGUGCUGGUUGUGUUUUCAGGGAAUGGACUAUUGCUCAAGCUGAAGAAGUAUUGAAUAACAUAUUGAAAAAUUAUGAUGAUUGGACUAUUCCUGAACCACAGGCUAAACCCACUCCAAAGAAGAGGGGUAUAUUAUAUCUCAGUCCUGAAGAUAUGCAAGAGGCAAAGAAAUCUACGAAGGAAAAGGGUAUGAAAGCUGAGGAUGUUAAAAAUUUACCUCCUAUUGAAGAAAUACAUGGGCUUAAUACACCACCACUGCCUAAGGUGGUAGAGGUAAAUUCUCUUAUGAAGUUCAAUGAAAAUGAUAAUCCUCACAAUAUGCAUCCUAGCCAAUGCCUUUAUGAGUUUGAAAACUAUAUUAGAAAACAAGACCACUUCAAUGCAAGUGUUAUGAAACAGUUGAAAUAUAAUUCUGAUAUGAUUGCUCACUUGAGUGACUUGUUAUUUAGAAUAUCAAAUGACGUUAGAGGUGUUGGAAAACAUGCUUCUAUGGUUCAAACUCAGCUAGAACAAGUUGCUAAAUCACAAAGAGAAUUACUUGAUGAAAUGAAUCAUAAUAUGCAUGACUUUGUUGUUAGAGUUGCAACUAGAGGAGGUAAAAUGACUCAGGAACCACUUUAUCCUGAGGGAUACCCAAAAAGAAUAGAACAAGAUUCACAAAGAAACAACACUAGUGCACCUAGUCCUUCUAAAAAGAAGAAAAAGAAAAAUGAUAGGACUUUGCACACUACUAGUGAACCUGAAAUAGAAAAACCUCCUGAUAAUGAAAAUGAAACUUCUAUCUCUGAUGUUGAAACUCAAUCUGGUAAUGAACAUCCACCUAAUGAUAAUGAAAAAGAUAAUGCUGAUGUUCAUGAAGAUGCUCAACCAAAUAAUGAAAAAGAACCAGAUAAUGAUGUUGAGAUAGAGCCACCUGUUGAUCUUGAUAACCCAAUACCUAAAAAUCAAAGGUAUGGUAAAAGAGACUUCAUUGCUAGAAAACACGGUAAAGAAAGAGAACCGUGGGUUCAAAAACCUAUGCCUUUUCCACCCAAGUCAACUAAAAAGAAUGAUGAUGAAGAAGAAUUUGAAUGCUUUGCUGAAAUGCGGAGGCCAGUCUUUUUGCGUACUCGCUUGACUGAUAUCUUGAAAAUGCCUCCUUAUGCAAAGUAUAUGAAAGACAUCAUCACAAAUAAGAGAAAAAUACCAGAAGCUGAAAUCUCCACUAUGCUUGCUAAUUAUACUUUCAAAGAUGGAGUACCUAAAAAACUUGGAGAUCCAGGAAUACCAACUAUACCUUGCUCUAUCAAAAAGAAUUAUGUGAAAACUGCUUUGUGUGAUUUAGAAGUUGGUGUUAGUGUUAUGCCUUUCUCUUUAUAUGAAAGACUUGACUUGAAUAAACUCACACCUACUGAAAUAUCUUUGCAAAUGGAUGACAAAUCAACUGCCAUACCUAUCGGUAUCUGUGAGGAUGUGCCUGUUGUUGUUGCUAAUGUUACUAUUUUGACUAACUUUGUUAUACUUGAGAUGCCCGAGGACGACAACAUGUCGAUUACCCUUGGUAGACCCUUCUUGAAUACUGUAGGGGCUGUUAUUGAUUGCAAUAAAAGCAAGGUCACUUUUCAUAUUAAUCGUAAUGAGCAUAUGGUGCACUUUCCAAAGAAACAAUUCCAAGUGAAUGGUAUUAAUGUUAUUGAAAAAUCACCGACAAUCACUAUUGGAAGUUUUCAAAUACCUCUACCUAUUGUCAAAAAGAAAUAUGAAAUGCUUAUUGUUGGGGAAAUUCAUAUCCCCAUUGAGGUAACUUGGUGAUUUAUGAAGGUUCUUCGGUUUCAUGCUAAUCGAAAGUGGUUGUUAAUAAGACCUGAUCAACCUUAUUAAUGCAUCAUUUUUGAACGGUAUGAAGUUGAUGAAUUUAGUAAGCACUACUUUAUGUCCCUACUUUUUAUUUCUCUAUUUUUAUUAGUUAAAUAAAAUAAAUGCCAUGUUUUGUCUGUUUUCUCAAUUUCCCGUGCAAUAAAAAAUGACCCAAAAAUAAAAGUUCUCAGAAUGCCCUGAAAAUUUUAUACGAUUUUUUCUGAAUAUUUAAGAAUUUUUGGUGCAAAUAAUACCAUAGGGGGGUGCACCAGGUGGGCACAACCCACCUGGGCGUGCCAGCACCCCCUGGCGCGCCCUGGGGGGUUGUGGUCCCCAUGUGGGCCCCCUCACUUACCUCUUCAUCCCACAUUGUCACCUACCUCCAGAAAAAAAAUCACCCUUGCUCUCUCUCCCAUGUUCUUGAGCUCAAACCCGCGGAUUUCGAUCUCUUUGCUUGAAACUCCGUUUCCGAAACUGUUUCGGGGGAUUGUUGCUUGGUAUGUGAUUCCAUCAUUUGUCCAAUUAGUUUUUGUUUUUGGUUUAUACUUUGAAUAAAUAGCUACUCUUGGUGCUGCUGUAGAUGUGCUUGCAUGUUCAAUUCUUAGUGUUCUAAGUAGUUUGAAUGCUUGAUGUGGCCUCUAUGUAUCCCUAUGAGUAGUUGCUAUUAGUUUUGUAAAGUUUUGUUGACAAAUUUUUGUCACCUCAAAAAUUUUAUUUUCAGAAAAUUGUACGCGGACAUGUUGAACUUGUUUGGAAGGAGUUCUUCGAGGAGACGAUCCUCGGGGGCAUCCUCUAGUGACAACUCUGCUCAUUGGUCAUACGUUGAACCAAGUAAAAGUUCCACGCGGGAUGCUUCUACCAAAACUUGCUUAUGGCCUUGCGAUGAGUAUAUGAUGCAAGUGGGCAUCAAGGGGGAAUUUGAGCAAUAUGUUCACAGUGUCGGUCUCGGUCCCUACAUCUCAGAUAAGUGUCAACAGCGCCAUCUUCUCACUGAAUCAUUUGUCAAAGAAUUUAAAUAUUUUCCUCGUGAGUCUAGGGUGUCGUUUAUGCUUUAUGAUAAAUUGUAUACUAUUUCACUAGAGAACUUUGCUUAUCAUUGCAAACUUCCAUUUUGGGGUUCGCUUGAUGAGCCAGCAAAGGCUGAGUAUGAGUCUUUCUUGACUAGCCUUUGUUACGGUCAAAAUAGGGGUGUGAGACAAGGAAGAAUAAAGAGCAUUCACUUUCCCGCAAUUCAGUACCUCGCAUUAUUUAACGGGAAAUGCAUGGUAGGAAAGCAAGACUGUAGCAUACUUUGUGCUCCAGACUUGAGCCUCAUUCACACCGCUCUCACUGGUGAAAGGAAUUAUAACCUUGGAGCGAUUGUUGCACGUAGACUUUAGCAUAACGCCAAAAGUGGCUGGUUCUAUGGUGGAAUAUAUGCCACGCAUUUAGCACGAGGGCUGAGUGUUUCACCUUUGCCUUUUGAUCCUAUACUUCCCACUCGGUAUUUAGAUUUUGAUGCUUUAAAGGAGCAUAAGAUUCUCGCAGGAAGGGCUGAUAAUUUCACUUAUAGUUUGUUGUUUAACCAAUCACAUGUUGUGGACACAUAUUUGCAUGCGCCUGCUCUCUUUGAUUAUCACAACAAGGAAAGAUAUUUUGUUCUUGAGAGCGAGGCCCGAGCUCACAACGCAACAGUGUUGGUGGCACAGCGUGCUGAGGACUCCGCACCGAGAGCCUCCGUGAGCUACCACGCUGACUACUACCCUCCAGGCCACUGAUCGAUUACCAACUUAGGCCAAAAGCCUAAGCUUGGGGGAGUACGUGUUUCUCACCGACAUUACAUUCAUGCUCACAUAUCAUUCUAUUUGUCGGUGCUCACACUUUUCCAUUGUAUCAUCCAUGCUUAGAUUUAUUUUCUUGCGUUCUUCUUGUGUGUUUGAAAACUUUAGAAAAACCAAAAAAAUAGUUGUAGUAAUUUACUUUCUAUUCAUGCUUAGUAGUAGUACUAAAAAGAAAAAACCCAAAAAGAUUUCCUUGUUCUUCUUUUUCUUGUUGGGAGCUUUCCCGUGUAAAUAGUUUUUCUCGUUUUUGCUUUUUAUUUGCUUGUUGAAGAAAACCCAAAACUCCAAAAAUAUUUCAGUGUGUUUCUUUCAAUUUCUUUUCCUUUUAUUCGAGUUGUACCGAGGAGAAGACCACGAUGAAAAUGUUGAGUGGCUCUCAUAUGAAUAACUGUUGAACUAAUAAAGAGCCCAUUUUACCUUGUCUUCUCCUGUUGAAUAAAAUGUUUUGCAGAUUCCAGCCUAGUCCAUGGCACUCUUGCACUAUUAUUACUUUCAUAUCAUUCAGUCAUGCAAGUGAAAGGCAAUAAUGACGAUAUUCGAUGAGCUGGCUGUGCCAAAGAGAAACUGGUAUGAACUCGACUUGUUCUAUCUGUGUAAAUAUGUUUAACCUAGUAUCCAGGCUUCAGCCCAUUAUGAUUAAACAUGUUUGCAAUGACAAAUAGAGAUUAUAGUUUCUCAUGCCAUGCAUAAGUAGCUGGGAGUGGAUAAUGAUUUAUCUUGGAUAUCAACAUAGCGUUAAAAUGAUUGUGAUGUAGUAUGAUGAUAUGGUAUCCUCCUCUGAAUGUUCGAGUGGCUUGACUUGGUACAUGUUCAUGCAUGUAGUUGAAUCAAAACCAACAUAGCCUCUAUAAUAUUUAUGUUCAUGGUGUUCAUAUCCUACUCAUGCUAGUGUCCAAUGUUACUUAUGCAUAAUUCAUGGUUAUGAUCGUUGUUGCUCUCUAGAUGGCCGCUUCCGAAUCUUAUUUGCUAGCCUUCGCUUGUACUAAGUGGGAAUUCUGCGUGUACAUCAAAACCUUGAACCCAAAGUUAUUCCAGAUGAGUCCACCAUACCUACCUAUAUGCGGUAUUACCCUACCGUCCUAAGUAAAUUUGCAUGUGCCACCUCUAAAAACUUCUAAAAAAAGUUAUCCGUUUUGUGUGCCUGGAUCAUUCAUGGAACGACAGGAGGUGGUCGAUAUCUUCCAUGCUAAGCGGGCUAUCCUCAGGUCGAGUGUUUAUUCACUCGCCAUCGCACGAGGAAAUGGGCGGUAAUAGGGAUGCCCAGUCCCAAACUGCAAACAUGAAAAAGAUUUCAUCUCUUGAAUAAUCAAACAAAAACUCCCAAUGGAGUCAAAACCUUUACUUUCCGCUUGGAAACCGCCACUAGCGUGCUUAGCAUGGAAGAUGUUGAUAACUGAUGGUCGUGAAGUGAAUAAGAAGGGUGCAUGUCUCAAAAUUAUCAUUUAUCUCUGUUAUAAAAAGUGAGCUCUGGCACCUCUGCAAAUCACUGCUUCCCUCUGCGAAGGGACUUUCUAUUUACUUUUAUGUUGUGUCACCAGCUUCUAUAAACAAGAGCCAGAAACUGAGUAGAGCACAACGUUCAUGAUUUAUGCAUUGUGUAUAGCUAAUGUUGGGUGCAUCAUGACUGUUUAGUCGCUGCUUGAACUUCGGAGGUGCUCUGCAUUUAUGUUUUGCGGUAUCAUAAAGGGCUAGCGAGAUACCAUUAUUGUCAUAUUAUAUCAUGGUUGUUUUGACAACGUGUUGUUAUUUGAGAUAUCUUAUCAUUGCUCGCUAGCUGAUUAUGUCAUUGAUAUGAGUCAUUAUAAUCUUUAAGAGUUAUUGUUGACAUGGUUAGUUAUAAUGCUGGCUGAAAACCUGGGUGCUGUUUAAGCUUACUUAUGCAAACAAGAGCAAAAGAAUUCGUAAAAUUUUUUAUUUCUCACUUUCAGUUUAUCAACUGAAUUACUUGAGGACAAGCAAAGGUUUAAGCUUGGGGAUUUGAUACGUCUCCAACGUAUCUACUUUUUCUCACGCUUUUCCUCUUGUUUUGGACUCUAAUUUGCAUGAUUUGAAUGAAACUAACCCCAGACUUGUCGGCGUUCUGGGAACGGGGGUCCCUAGACUUGCCUGCCUGCGGCCCACGGCGUGGCCAAGCAAGCAGGCCGUACGGCCCAUCUUCAUCAACAAGGCAUCCAAGACCCUCGCGAGGGUCCAAACCUCGCGAGGCGGACGACGCAAGACUUCCUCAGGAGUGGCCUAGUCAGGCAGGCUCGCGAGGAGCGGAGAUAUCAAGGCGGGGCAAACCUCACGAGGCUCUCGUGACGUGAGCCAUGACGAACAGCACCAGACGGGCGCCAGCGCGCGCAGCGUCCUUAUUUCCUCUUUGGUGCUAAGGAAGGCCAUCGCAGGCGAAGAGUACCGAGGCAUCAGGCAAAGGUUGCCAUAUCGGUGCAACGAGACCAAGACCAGGAGGACGGCGAAACAGAGGUCAUCGUGGAGCCCAAGACGGCGUCCCCACCAGAGCUUUUCGCAGGCGAAGACCGCUUUUGUCAGGAUAGCUUGUACUAGUUGUCCCCCUUCAAAUUUGCCCGCCGUUGUUGGCUCCCUUCCCGCUCGAUAUUUGGGAAGAGGACCAGGGCCUCCAUAAAUAGGACUAGCCACCAAAGUAGGAGGCGACUGAUCUCGAACUGAUUCGGAUCAUCCUCAACUACACAAGCACAAGAACACCUCAACCUCAGGAGGUUGUUCUUCCCUUGUACUGUUCAUCAUCAGACCAAGAGGCAAUCCACCACCACCACACUGGAGUAGGGUAUUACACCACAACGGUGGCCCGAACCAGUAUAAACCUCGUGUCUUUCUGUGUUGCGAGUUCGUCGAGUUCGUCCGCGAGAUCUUAGCGAGCUAGGGCGUAGAUCGGUAGGAGGGAAAGACUUCGCGCGCACCCCAGUGUUUGAACCUUAAGGGUUUGCCGGAACCCCACAUCUGACAUUUGGCGCGCCAGGUAGGGGUGCGCCAGAGCUUCUUCUCCACCAACUAACUCGCCGAUGCUCCACCGCCGCGAUGUCCGGCGACCCAAGGGCCGGCUCCGACCGCUGGGCAGCCUGGUUAGCCCGGGCAGCGUCGCCUGCCCAUGAAGACCUCGACCCCACGCUCCAGGCGGCACGAGCGCCGCCAAACUCCGUCGGGCGCGGGCGGCGCGGCCAGGCGUCGUCCAACCUCACCCCGCGGCAAGUACGAUCCGCUGCAAGAGCGGCGAGCCAUGCCGCAGCAACGGCGCCGCACUCGCGGCGGGAGCAAGCAAACAUGCGGGCAGCGCUCACCGUGGCAAGGGAGCUGCUGCGGUGCAGACUGAUGGAGAGUGGUCGGGAUGCACUGCUGGAGCGCGUUGCCGAGCUGCUGGACGCAGCAGCGUUGGGAGCACCACCUUUCUGCUAUCGGCUUCCUCCUCAGGCCACCGCAGGGCCACACGGCGGGCCUGACCACAACCGCGCGCCGACGGCUACGCCGGGGAGCUUCAUCAACGUCAGCACGGCUAGCGGCGUAGGGGGCUCCGCCGCCCCCAUGCCGCCCGCGACAAGCACGGGCACAAGCGUCGCCCCCCAUGGUCCAGGCCGGGUGCCGUGCUACCAUCCUCAGGACGUCGCCCUAGGCCGAGCAACAUGGAGCGUGGGGCACUACGGAGAGGUGUUCGGGGUGACGGCCCCGGAAGCCUACGUGCCCCACAUGAUGGACCGGGAGUACGCACCGGAGGACGACCCCGGGUCAUUCGUUGGAGAAGAUUGGGAAGCGGGGGCGCUAGGAGCUGAAGCCUUCCAAGAACCAACGGAGAACCACGACGAUCGCGCCGGCGACGGCAACUACAGGGUACCCCUAAUCCCUCAGGAGCAAGCUUACGCUAACCAUGAGUCGCAGGAGGAACAGAUCACCGCAACGGCCGGUGGUCCCAGCUCGGCGGCCUCCCUGCCGCCAGGGGAAUCGCGUUGGGGGCUGCAAGAGAGGGGUCGGGAGCCAGGCCCCUCCCCACGGCACGCGAAGCCAAGGGACACCCGGAGGUAGGCCCUCUACCGGGGAUGCUUCGGCGACCCUUCCCCCGGCAGAGGACCUGUGGUCGCCGAGGGAACCGCUGGCGUCCUCUUUCCCUCCUUUGUGUCAUCCUGGUGACCGGUCGGCUCAGAGGAGGUCAAAGGUGGCGCAAGGCGGGGCCCUCGUCUGGCGAUAUGAAGCAAGGCCGGUACCUGUGAAGAAGGCCCAGUGCCUGUGAAGCUCGCCGCCCGUGACACUCUCACGUAAUAAUGAGUUGGGGCUGUACACGCCCCGGAGUCUCAGGAGCACCGGCCUCAGGACCUGGGGCUCCCUCCCACGCCUAGUGGCAGCACUUAGCUCCGCGCUGGUGAGAAGACUUGAAGACCAGAAGACUAGACUAGGUGCCGGAUGUGGCCUUUCGCUUUGGAUCUCUCUUUCUGUAGCUUUGCUUUCUGGAUCGGGAUUUAAGUUGAAGCCGAAUUUUUAUCNNNNNNNNNNNNNNNNNNNNNNNNNNNNNNNNNNNNNNNNNNNNNNNNNNNNNNNNNNNNNNNNNNNNNNNNNNNNNNNNNNNNNNNNNNNNNNNNNNNNNNNNNNNNNNNNNNNNNNNNNNNNNNNNNNNNNNNNNNNNNNNNNNNNNNNNNNNNNNNNNNNNNNNNNNNNNNNNNNNNNNNNNNNNNNNNNNNNNNNNNNNNNNNNNNNNNNNNNNNNNNNNNNNNNNNNNNNNNNNNNNNNNNNNNNNNNNNNNNNNNNNNNNNNNNNNNNNNNNNNNNNNNNNNNNNNNNNNNGGGGGGGGGCUUUUUCUCGUUUGAGCAAUUUCUUGCCUUCUGGAUCUCGUUUUGUCUCGGACUCAUGUCCGUCGCUUUUCCCUCACGAGCUCCUCGCGAGCGGGACUGCGCGAAGCACGCGCACGCCAAGCGCGCGCUAGCACUGCAACUGGUGCUCACCUCUCGUGGGGCCCCUUCUAACAGGGCGACGAGCUCUGCAGGAUUCUGAGAAACUCGACGCCUCAGCUCAAAGCUGGCGCGGGCUAAGGUAAACCAUGACAGAAAACUCGCACCUGGAUUCACGAGUCCACAGGGACACAAACUCACACCGCAUAGGCAAGUAAAAACUGCAAUUUGCUUACAUGAGGGGCUCCCCCUCUCAAAAUGCUCUUACAAGUUUUCCAAGGGCCAAGCUCGAGUUUUGUGCGCAGGAUGAAAGAACAGGGAAACAAGGGAUCAGCCAGAAAUGUCGCUCGCUGCGUCACCCGAGGACGCGUCACUCGCAUCGUCAUCGCCCUUGUCGGCGUCAUCGCCGCCAUCGGCGACGCCCCCGUCGCCGUCGUCAACCACGUCGCCUUCGUCUGCGAUGACCACCACAGCGUCAUCCUCUGAAGUGAAGGCUCUGACCAACGUGUCCACAUUGUCCUCAACCCAACGCGCCAGGUCACCCCGGACAGCCGUGGGUACGGGGGCGAUGGCGGCGUCGAAAUCAAAGUUGGGGUCGGCAUUCAUGAGGUGGCUGAAGACGCGGGAGAAAGCGCGCUCAAGCAGGCCACGACCCCUUUCCUCCACAAGCUGGCGAGCACUGGCAGAUCGAGCCUCCAUGCACGUCACCACCUCGGUGAGGAAGGUCAGGUGGCUGGCAUAAUCAUUCGAGUGAGGGGCCGGCGCCUCCACGUCGCAAAUAUGGCCCAGGGCGAUAUUGGCCCUGUUCCGGAGAUCCUGAAGCAUAGGGGCAUGCUCGCGCUCCAACGUUCGUCGUUGGAGCACUUCCUCCGUGUUUUGCCGUGCGACGGACUCUGUGUCAUCAACCCACCUCCGGAGGGAACGCAGCUCAGCGUGGGCGGAGGCCAAGUCCGCCUGCGCCGUGACCAAGGCGGCGGACGUGGCUUCCACACGCCUCUCAGCCUCGUCCAACCUGGGCCUGAGGGCAGCAGCCAUGCCCUCAUCCUCCAUACCGGCUAGCUUCAGCUUCAGGUCGUACCUGCCCUCCAAGUCAGCGCGGACCCGGGCCACCUGGCGAUCAAUUUCCUCCUGGAUCCUGGCCUUGCGAGCCCCGAUGGCGUCCUCCGCCUGAGUGACUUGAUGCUCUCUCGUCUCCAGUUGCUCGAGCUCAAGGCUGCGCUCCACGGCUUCCAGGGCCAGCGCCUCCUCGCGAUUCCGGACCUCUUCUUCCUCCACGGGCGUCCCCCUCAGGGACGCAAGGGCGGCUCUGCGCGCCUCCACCUGCUGCUCAAGGGACGCGCUCCAGGCCUGGAGCUCCUACGCACGCUUCUCCACAGCCUCGCGGUGGCGAUCAGCCUCGCGAGCCUCUUCCAAAGCUCGUGAACGGGCUUCAUGGGAAACCUUGAGAGACGCCUCGGCCUCCACAUUCUCAAGGUCACGCUGAUAGCGGCCGAGGUUGAUGGCCACUUUCAGCUUGCGCGGCUCCUCCACCAACCGGAGACCUCCGGCCUCAAGACGCGCAUCGACACUCGCGAGCUCUUCACCAAGUCGACUCAUCGCGCCCAUCGCCUCCUGGAAGAGCUCGUGACGAACCACGCACCGCUCGCGCUCGAGCUCGAACGCUCGGCCCACCUCGUCCUCCACCUCGGGAGUUGCGGGCGUGGCGCCAAGUGGCGCGCCUCCUCCUGGCAGGGGGCUGGGGGCUGACGCCGCGCCCGGCAUCAGCCAGUCCUCAUGAGGAGCCCAAGCUGACCGGGGCUCGCUGCUGGGGGAGAAGCCGAAGAUCGAAGACAACUAAUUGUCGUCCAUGGCCAGAGGAGGAGUCUUGGGCACUCCUGCCAAGCUCCACGCCAGACCGUGGGGGAGGAGCUACAAAGCCUCGGGUCCGGCGCGCCAAGAGGGCAGGAGUGCCCCUUCAGCCAACCCUGCUCUAGGGGCAGCAAGCAAACUCGGAGCGCUCGAGGCUGGCGGAAGUGUUGAGGAAGGAGGAGGCCGUUUCUCAGGAGAUGUGGCGGCUUCGAUGGAAGGAGCCCUGAAAGACUGGCGUCAGGAGAAGAAGACAGCACGCAAUAAGCCAUGGCAGUGCGGCACUUACACGUCAAUGGCGAUAUACUUCCUUCGCUUCAACGGGCCGAAGAUAUUGCUGCCGCCAGGGGAUCCUUUCCUCUUGCAAAGCUCCUCGAAGUCCACACAAAGGCGACCGAAGCGCUGGACGUGACGACCGGUGCAUGGCGGGGGCGAAGAGGGGCUUGGAAGGAUGUCCUCGGGGGUGCCCGGUUGCGGCGAACGACCGGGCACCCUCUCACCACAGCCUCCCGAAGGUCCUGGAGCCUUGGCCUCGGGAACCGCAUGCCACGCCUCUUUAGCAACCGACGCCUCAGGAGGAGGGCCGCAGGCUCCCAAGGAAGACGCCCCAGGAUCACCGCUCGGCAGGUGCUCCUCAGCACCCGAGCCACCGGCCCCCGUUGGAGCUAGCCCACCUGCACCGUCACUUGGGGCGGGCUCGGCACCAGCGGCAAGGCAGGGAACCACGACGACGGGGUUCUCACGGGGCCCCACCAGGUCGAUCGGCCGUGGCCCCCACUCAUCAAAGGGAGGCAUGUUCUCUACAAACUCAUCCUUGUUCUUGCAGCGGUACAGCAAACAGUUCUUCCCAGGCAGUUCGGCCAGCAAGAGGACACCCGUCAGGACCUUGAGCACUGUUUGUCGCGUCCCGAGGAGGAGCCCAGACUCCUGAAACCUCAUGUGGUCCUGGCUGCUGAGCAAGGUCCACAUUGGGCGAGAAUGGCACUGAAGCAGAGCGACCCGGCAUUUGACGAAUUCCUUCACCACCAUCGACGCAGUUACGCCGCGAUCUUUCAGCAACCUCAACCUGAACCAGACGUUGGCAAGGCGGGGGCUCAUGAGCCGCUGAUGGCUCCAGCCGGAGUUAGGAACAGCGGGCCCCGACGGAGCCUGGAGCAGAGGACUGAGCACGCCGGCAUCGACGAACACCCAUCGUGUCCGGAAUUCGCUCGUGGAUGGAGGAAGCUCGAAGUCGAUCCCCUCGCCCGCCGUCACAGCCACGGCAUGUAAGCUCACGCAUCCUGAGCUUUGUUGAGGGUCGGUCAGAUGCAAUGAGAAGAAAUGGCGAAGGAGGGCAACAGAAGGGGCUAUGCCAGCCAUGGCUUCGCACACGAAGGCGAAGACGGCAAGAAGAGUCACAGACUGAGGGUCAAGAUGCAGCAUGUGGAUCUGAUAAUGCUCAAGCACCGCAUUGAAGAAGGCAGAGAAGGGAGGAAUCAGACCAGCCCAGAGGGCAUAUAUGAAGAUUGGGACUUCGGUGGCCGCCAGAGCCGUGCGAGUGCGAGACGCGGGCCAAGCCACCGUCUCCCCCCACUCGUUGAAGCUGGAAGCAAGCAUCGGACACACCUUGUCCAUGGCCUCUUCAUUGAGCACCCGAGACCGGCCGAGCGCAGGCACGAAGGAUGGAGGCGCAGCUGGCAGAGAUAGAGGUUUCUUCCCUUUUCAGCUUGUUUCGGCGCCAUGGCGAUGGGGCAGGCAGAGCGCAAGUCAGAUUGGAAGGGCGAAGCAGGGCCUCGAGGAAGUAGAGAGAUUGGAAGAGCCAGGCGUGGGCGAAGGAAGAAUAACUGUGUGAGAUGCGGGGGCGCAUAGCCAGACGGAUUCAAGGGCAGCGUGGGGAAGUGGAGACACCCACGUCCAAUCAACCGCCACGCGUCAACCGAGGCCGCAGGCUUUUGGGGCCCGCGGUGCUCCGAACUUGACCCUUGGCUUCACCGCGAAGCCAAGCCCGAGCACACCUUGGGCCCGGGGGCUACUGUUGGCGUUCUGGGAACGGGGGUCCCCAGACUUGCCUGCCUGCGGCCCAUGGCGUGGCCAAGCAAGCAGGCCGUACGGCCCAUCUUCAUCAACAAGGCAUCCAAGACCCUCGCAAGGGUCCAAGCCUCGCGAGGCAGACGACACAAGACUUCCUCAGGAGUGGCCUAGUCAGGCAGGCUCGCGAGGAGCGGAGAUAUCAAGGCGGGGAAAACCUCACGAGGUUCUCGUGACGUGAGCCAUGACGAACGGCACCAGGCGGGCGCCAGCGCGCGCAGCGUCCUUAUUUCCUCUUUGGUGCUAAGGAAGGCCAUCGCAGGCGAAGAGUACCGAGGCAUCAGGCAAAGGUUGCCAUAUCAGUGCAACGAGACCAAGACCAGGAGGACGGCGAGACGGAGGUCAUCGUGGAGCCCAAGACGGCGUCACCAUCACUAUAAUGAGAGCAAGCGUGAGGAGUUCCGCAAUCUUAAGCAAAGCAGCAUGUCCGUGUAUCAAUACAAUACUCAGUUUCAGAAACUCGCUCGCUUCGCUAAGCAAGACGUUCCUGAUGAAAAGAGCAUGAUCUAUCAAUUCAAAGGUGGUCUCACAGAAGAUCUGCAAUUACCUCUCGUGCUUUUUGAGCCGACCAAGUAUGAUUAUUUCUACAAUAUGGCACUGAAGCAAGAGGCUGCUCAGCUCAAGUGUGAGGCUUCUAAGAAGAGAGUCAGGGACGCAGUUCAGUCUUCUUCUUCCUCACUAGUGGCUGCUAAGCAACAGAAGUUCUGGUUGCCUCCUCCUCCUCCGUUUUGUCAGCCUUUCCAGCAGAAGAACAAAGGUGGCCAUGGAUCUUCCCACUCAUCCAACCCUGGCUAUCAGAACAAGUCUCAGAAUCAAGCUCCAAAGUCGAAUGCUCCUUAUCAUCGUCCACUCUCAGAGGUGACUUGCAACAAGUGUCAGCAGAAAGGUCACUAUGCUAACAAGUGCUUCAACCAAAGGUGUCUUCCGCCUCCUCCUCCUGUGAGAUCUUCCAACAAUGCAGUGGUCAAGCAUAAUCCCAAGUCUGCAAAGGUGAACAUGAUGAAUGCAGCUCAAGCAGAGGAAUCUACUGAUGUGAUAAUGGGUAAUCUCUCAGUUAAUGAUAUUCCUGCAAAAGUCUUAUUUGAUACUGGUGCAUCGCAUUCUUUCAUUUCAAGACCUUUUGUGGCUAUGAAUGAUUUGGUUACUCAAGUUUUGCCGAGUCCUAUGUCUAUUGUUUCCCCGGCUCGGCAAAUGACUUCUCGAGUAUUCGUUCGGGAUUCCGUUAUCAAGAUGGGCGACUAUAAAUUUCUGGCCAAACCAAUUGUUCUUGGUGACUCGGAUAUUGAUCUAAUUCUCGGGAUGUGUCGUGGAAUUGUCACGGCAGAUAUCCUAGUGUGAGGACUUAGUCGUGAGGCCAACGCAUCUUUGUAGUAGCUUGAGAGGGGUUGAGCGGAAUCGAGAGACGCAACACAAGACAAGGAUUUAGACAGCUUCGGGCCCCGGGAAACAUCAUCCGGUAAUAGCCCUACAUGUUGUUUGUGGCUAGAUCUCAUUAUACUCAUGAGAGAGUCGGCGCAUAAGCCGGCUCCCCCUUUGUGUCUAGCCCUAGAGAUUGUUUCUUGUUGCUUGUCCCUCUUUGGGGUGCCCUGCCCCUCCUUAUAUAAGUUAGAGGGGCGGGUUACAUGUGGAGUCCUAGUAGGACUAGGACUAGUCUAUCUUUUCUUACAAGUUGAAUACAAGUCCGGGUCUUGCUCCCUCGUAAAGGAAAUAUUCUUCAUCCCUUUCUCCUUAAGCCGGCCCACCAGAGUAUAAGCCAGCCUACUGGGCCUUGGGCCUUGUCGUCCGUCUGAUCCACCCGCCGGGUCUCCAGUGAGUCACAAUGUCCAGGCGGGUUACCUGUGAGAAUCGCCGUGUUCGGGCGGAUCACCAGUGAGUCGCCAAGCUCUAGCCAGGUCUCUAGUGAGUCGCCAAGUCUGGCCGGGUCAUACCGUGGGGUAUAUCCCCGACAUUAGCCCCCUGUUUAAUUUGGAUUUAUCCAUGUUAAACUGAUCCUGCAAAAUAACUCAAGAACAAAUUUGACAGGUUGUGUUCCGGGUUAAAUAUUCUUGUAAGCCGGCACCUGAUCAUCCUUAAGUCCUUGACAUUUUCUCCUGGAAUAUCCGGGUCAAUAGGCCAGCUUCAUAAUCCAUUUGCUGACAUUGGCUCUUUAUAAAGAAAUAUUAUACGAAAUAAUCCAUUUGAGUCGGUUUGCAAAACUCCGGCUUAAUAAACAUCUUAGACUCAAGAUUCAUCUGGUGAUCCGCCAGUUUAAAGAUGUAGAGGCUGGAUAGUUAUAAUUGCCAAAAUUACCGGCUUGUAAAUAUUGAUAACACCGGGUCAUAACUGUUGCCGACGCCGGGUCAUUAUUAUUGGUGACACCGGGUCAUGAUUGUUGCAAACACCGGGUCAAUCUGGUCUACUCCAAACUGAGAAUUUGAAGAUUUUUUUCUCCCUUAUAUGCAUAUCACCUAUAGCCCCCAAGUCUUAAGAGGAGAACAUAGUGAUAACUUAAGACUUGCUUCAAUAUAAGUGUUGCAACCUUGAAGAAAACCGGGUUAUUCAUCUCAAUCAUUAGUCAUAAACUGAAUAUUCCACAUAUGUAGCCCCCAAGUGCCGGGUUGUCAUGCUUGCAGCAAUUUGGGACUUGUAAUUGCCUUAUGCUCAUAAAAAACUUCAACCAGUGUAGCCCCCAAGGGCUGGGUCAUUAUGCAAUAAUGAGCAGGGACUUUGUAAAUAUAAUCAUGUAAACUGGACCAGCAAUGUGUAGCCCCCAAGGGCCGGGUCAGUAAUAUAUUACCGAGCUGGGACUUUGUAUAUGAUUCAUUGAUAAUAACAGCAUAUGAUGUAAUCUCCACCAUGGGGCUUGAAUCCACGUCCACAAGGUUAAGAGCUUUGUACUCUACCAACUAAGUAGUGGAUCUUUCAAUAUAAUGGAUUAAGGCUUGUGUACCUUGAAUUUUCAACAGGAGCAAUUGGUAGCCCCCAAGGGCCGGCUCAUUUAGAAUGUGAUGAGUCGGGUCUUCAAUAAGUUGAGCAAACAAUGACUUUGCAUUAGCCCCCAAGUGCCAUGGUACAUGCUGGCAGUAACAUGGGACUUGCAUAUUCGAUGUAAUAUCAAUUUGAAUAAUGUAGCCCCCAAGUGCCGGGUCGUAAGCCUGCAGCGACUCGGGACUAUUCCUUCCAUUGUAGAAUAAAUCAUAUCCAUUGAUAAAAUAAUAGCCAUUGCACCAAAGCGACUUUGAAUACCUCAUCUGUUGAUAAGUAAACCUGGAGUUUAAAUACCCGGUGGCUCUUGGCCGAUGGCAAUUUAAUACGCCUCCAUUGUAAGCCGGAAUUUUUAUAACCCGGCGGCUUAUAGCCUUUGAGAAAAUCAAGAAUUGAUAACCCUUUUGAGACACCAAUUUCAAUCUUUGAUGAUGGGCUUGAACUUAAUCAUUUAUGUAAGUCAUAGCUCUGUAAAUCCUGCAUAGAGUUUAAACAACAUAUGCCCUGGCGACUUAACGUCAAAAGCCAGGGCGGGUAACCAUCCAAAUGUAGUCUUAUCCUGCACACAAGUAGAUCACAAGAUCCCUUGGCGGUUUACCGCGGGGCGGGUCACAAUAUCUCACAUAUAACCACUGUGAUAUUGAAUUUGUACUGCCGGUUUACAUGACCUGUGCAGUAAGGGUGAUAACCCAAUCUUUAGAAGCCAACGCUUCCAAAUAGAUGAUGAUUGUCAUAAGCUGGCGAUUUAUCAUUGAAAAUCAAGCCGGGUUAAAUAGAAACCACUCAUAUACACUUUAGAUAUGAUCAAAAGAACUUCAAAUAAAAUCCAAAAAAUUGUUUGCAAAAAGACACUUCAAAAAUUUUGAGGCUUCUAAUUCGAAUACGAUCAGAAAACCAUCCCAAAGGGGUUAAGCUAAGAUUCGAAUACGAUCAUAUAGCCCCCAGUGGCUUUGGCGUUGCCGAUCAAGAAGGUACCGAAAGCUAUGUUCUCUUUGGUUCGCAUACGACCUAUGUUUGAACAGGAAGCCCCCAAAUGACCUUGAGAGUUGUUUAACGACGCUGAUUCGAAUACGAUCCACGUCGGUUCCCAAAAGGGGUUGAGCUAUGAUUCGAAUACGAUCAAGAAGCCCCCUAGUGAGCUCGGCAGUGUGCCGAUCAAGAGGGUACCGACAGCUAUGUUCUCUUUGGUUCGAAUACGACCUAUGUUUGAACAGGAAGCCCCCAAGUGACCAUAAUAAGAUAAGCUGUAAAGCGGGAUACCCAUGUUUGAACCGUGCAUCAUGGCAGCAAGCCCUUUUUGGCACCCUUUAAUCUUUCUGAGAACUCGAACUUGCGAGAGAUUAAUUCUUUUUAAACCGGAACCUUAAACCGGAUUUGAAAGUUUAAAACUUUGUGAGAGGUAAAUUUACCUUGAGCCGGAUUUUGAACCGGAUUUGAGAGCUUCAAAGCUUUGUGGUAAAUAAAAUUUCCUUGAACCGGAUUUUAAACCGGAUAUUAAACCGGAUAUUAAGAGCUUCAGUGCUUUGUGGGAGAGAGAUUGUCCUUGAACUGGAUUUUGAACCAGAAUCCUUAUUUUGAGCCGGAAAUCUUCUGACGGCCCUUAAAUUUUCAUCGAUCAAGCAGUAAUCCCCGGGGUCGGGUUAUUUUUCCCUUCAAUGACCCGGACUUCUUGAAUUCAUUGAAACCGGCUAACUUUGCCGAGUCAUAUAUACCAUUGUAGCCCCCGAGUCUCGGGACGACUCGAGGAGUUGGCUCGAGAUUCUCCAUAUUUGACCAUAGCAGAAGGUGUAUAUCAUUGGCGUUGAUAGCGCGAUGUGAAUCCACAGAAGGUUGAGGUGACUGCGGCGGGUUAUAAAUGAUCCCGUAUGAGCCGUGUCAGCAACUCGGCCAAUGGUUCCUUCCAACUGGCUGUUUGAAGUUAACCAAACCGUAGUGGCGGCGACUUGUGCACCUACCCAUUGAGCGAUCCCGUGGCUGGCGGUGGGCCGGCGCACGUUGAGGAUAAAUAUCUCAUGAGCUAGUGAGUAGCUGCAUUGAGCGAUCCCGUGGCUGAUGGUGGGCGCCAACUGUCGUGGAAUUGUCACGACAGAUGUCCUAGUGUGAGGACUUAGUCGUGAGGCCAACGCAUCUUUGUAGUAGCUUGAGAGGGGUUGAGCGGAAUCGAGAGACGCAACACAAGACAAGGAUUUAGACAGCUUCGGGCCCCGGGAAACAUCAUCCGGUAAUAGCCCUACAUGUUGUUUGUGGCUAGAUCUCAUUAUACUCAUGAGAGAGUCGGCGCAUAAGCCGGCUCCCCCUUUGUGUCUAGCCCUAGAGAUUGUUUCUUGUUGCUUGUCCCUCUUUGGGGUGCCCUGCCCCUCCUUAUAUAAGUUAGAGGGGCGGGUUACAUGCGGAGUCCUAGUAGGACAAGGACUAGUCUAUCUUUUCUUACAAGUUGAAUACAAGUCCGGGUCUUGCUCCCUCGUAAAGGAAAUAUUCGUCAUCCCUUUCUCCUUAAGCCGGCCCACCAGAGUAUAAGCCAGCCUACUGGGCCUUGGGCCUUGUCGUCCGUCUGAUCCACCCGCCGGGUCUCCAGUGAGUCACAAUGUCCAGGCGGGUUACCUGUGAUAAUCGCCGUGUUCGGGCGGAUCACCAGUGAGUCGCCAAGCUCUAGCAAGGUCUCUAGUGAGUCGCCAAGUCUGGCCGGGUCAUACCGUGGGGUAUAUCCCCGACAGGAUGGACUGGCUUUCUAAGCACAAGGCUCAACUUGAUUGUGCUGCCAGGGAAAUUCAAUUGACACACUCUUCUGAGGAUGUGAUUAUUUAUGCCGCUCGUGAUGAAACCAUUCGGUUGUUUUCUCUCAAUGAGAAGGGCGAGUUGAAUGCCAUCUCUCAGAUUCCAGUCGUUUUUGAGUACCAAGAUGUCUUUCCAGAAGAGCUUCCGGGUAUGCCUCCUCACCAGCCAGUUGAGUUCGUUAUCGAUCUUGAGCCUGGCACGGAACCCGUUUGCAAGUGUCCAUACAAGCUUGGACCCAAGGAGCUGAAGGAAUUGAAGAAACAGCUCGAUGAACAAGAGCGUCUGGGUCUGAUCUGACCGAGUUCAUCUCCAUGGGGUUGUGGUGUUGUUUUUGUCUAGAAGAAGGAUGGCACGGACCGACUUUGUGUCGACUACCGUCCAUUGAACAAGAAGACAAUCAAGAACAAGUAUCCACUUCCCAACAUCAAUGAGCUAUUCGAGCAACUCAAAGGUGCUAAAGUAUUCUCCAAGCUUGACCUUCGUAUGGGUUAUCAUCAGAUUCGCAUUCGUGAAGAAGAUAUUCCCAAGACAGCAUUCAAAACAAGCUUUGGUUCUUAUGAAUAUAUUGUCAUGUCUUUCGGCCUUGUCAAUGCUCCUCCAACAUUCUCUCGAAUGAUGAAUUUCAUCUUCAACCCCUAUACCAAUGAUUUCGUCCUGGUGUAUCUCGAUGAUAUCUUGGUCUUCUCCAAGAAUAAGAAGGAUCAUGCCAAACAUUUGCGAUUGGUGCUCGACAAGCUCAGAGAGUAUCAAUUUUAUGCAAAGUUUUCAAAAUGUGAGUUUUGGCUUGAUGAAGUUCUUUACCUUGGUCAUAUCAUCUCUGCCAAGGGCAUCGCUGUUAAUCCCGAGAAGGUGUCUACAAUUGUGAAUUGGGAACCUCCUCAGAAUGUCAACCAGCUUCGCAGUUUUCUUGGUCUUGCAAGCUAUUGCCGAAGAUUCGUUGAGAAUUUCUCCAAGAUUGCAAAGCCUCUUUCCAACCUCCUCCAGAAGCAUGUGAAGUAUGUCUGGACUCCUGAGUGUGACGUUACUUUCAACACUCUCAAAGAGAAACUCGUCACAGCUCCUGUCUUAACUCCUCCUGACGAAUCCAAGCCAUUUGAAGUUUUCUGUGAUGCUUCUCUUCAAGGUCUCGGUGCUGUGUUAAUGCAAGAGAAGAAAGUUGUGGCCUAUACCUCUCGUCAAUUGAAGCCCAAUGAAAAGAACUACCCCACUCAUGAUCUUGAGUUGGCGGCAGUUGUCCAUGCAUUAAUAACGUGGAGACAUCUCUUGUUGGGAAGAAAAGUGGACAUAUUCACCGAUCACAAGAGUCUCAAGUACAUCUUCACUCAGCCCAACCUCAACCUCAGGCAAACUCGAUGGGUCGAAAUGAUUCAAGAGUACAAUCCGAGUAUUGAAUAUACUCCAGGAAAAGCCAAUGUCAUCGCAGAUGCUUUGAGCAGAAAGGCUUAUUGCAACAGCUUAAUUCUCAAGCCAUUCCAACCGGAUCUUUGUGAAGCUUUCCGCAAGCUGAAUCUCCAAGUUGUUCCUCAAGGCUUUCUUGCCAACCUCAUAGUCUCUCCUACUUUGGAAGAUCAAAUUCGUGAGGCGCAACUUCUUGAUGACAUGGUGAAGAAGGUGAAACGUGGUAUCGACAAGGGUCUUUCCAAAUACAAGUGCUAUCGCAUUAAUGACAGAGACACUUUAUUCUUCGAGGACCGGAUUGUGGUUCCUAAAGGUGAUCUAAGGAAACUCAUUAUGAAUGAGGCACACAAUUCUCUUCUUUCCAUUCAUCCUGGAAGUACGAAGAUGUACCAUGACCUCAAGCAGUCGUAUUGGUGGACUCGAAUGAAGCGAGAAAUCACGAAAUUCGUGAACGAAUGUGACGUCUGUCGAAGGGUGAAAGCAGAACACCAACGACCAGCUGGUCUCCUCCAACCUCUUGCUAUCCCAGAAUGGAAGUUUGAUCAUAUCGAAAUGGACUUCAUGACUGGAUUUCCAAAGUCCAAGCGUGGAAAUGAUGCUAUCUUCGUUAUCAUUGACAAGCUUACUAAAGUGGCUCAUUUCCUUCCAAUCAAAGAAUCUAUCACAGCAGCUCAGUUGGCAGAGCUAUACACCUCCAGGAUUGUCUCCUUGCACGGCAUUCCACAAUUGAUAUCUUCAGAUCGUGGAAGCAUCUUCACUUCUAAGUUCUGGGACUCCUUCCAGAAGGCCAUGGGCACAAACAUUCGCUUCAGCACAGCUUUCCAUCCUCAAACUAGUGGCCAAGUCGAGCGGGUAAAUCAAAUUCUUGAAGAUAUGCUCAAGGCUUGUGUCAUUUCCUUUGGCAUGAAGUGGGAAGAUUGUCUUCCAUAUGCCGAAUUCUCCUACAACAACAGCUUCCAAGCGAGUUCGGGCAAGGCCCCAUUUGAGAUUCUAUAUGGCAGAAAGUGUCGUACUCCUCUCAAUUGGUCAGAGACUGGUGAACGCCAACUUCUUGGAAAUGACUUAAUCACAGAGGCUGAAGAAAUGUGUAAAGUCAUCCGUGAAAAUCUCAAAGCCGCGCAAUCGCGCCAAAAGAGUUACUAUGAUAGCAAGCACCGUGAUGUGGCUUUCGAGAUCGGAGACCAUGUCUACCUCCGCGUCUCUCCAAUGAAAGGCACUCGUCGCUUCGGUAUCAAAGGGAAGCUUGCCCCUAGAUACGUGGGUCCUUUCAAGAUCAUUGGAAAAAGAGGCGACCUCGCCUAUCAACUUGAGCUUCCCUCCAACUUCGCGAACGUGCACGAUGUGUUCCAUGUGUCACAGCUUCGCAAGUGCUUCAAGACUCCUGAGCGCACCAUCAACUUCGAAGAGAUUGACCUCCAAGAAGACCUAUCUUAUCAUGAGCACCCCGUUGCUAUUCUUGAAGAAACUGAGCGCAAGACUCGCAACAAGUCUAUCAAAUUCCUGAAAGUGAAGUGGUCGCACCAUUCCGACCGAGAAGCCACCUGGGAGCGCGAGGACCACCUCCGUUCCGAAUAUCCGGAGUUCUUUCAGUCCUAGAUCUCGGGGCAAGAUCCUCUCGUACUUGUGGAGUGUUGUAACAGCCCGGAUGUAACUUUCCAUAUUUGUAACUCCAACUCUUGCCAUUUUCGGCUAUGUGUUAUGAUAUUCCCUUCGUGGUCGGGUUUUGUUUUUCGUUUUGCAUUUUGUUCAUGUCAUGCAUCUCAUAUCAUGUCAUCAUGUGCAUCUCAUUUGCAUACGUGUUCGUCCCAUGCAUCCGAGCAUUUUCCCCGUUGUCCGUUUUGCAAUCCGGCACUCCCACAUGCACCGGCGCACCCCUCUUGUUUCUUUUCGUGAGCGGGUGUUGAACGUUCUCGGAAUGGACCGAGUCUUGUCAAGUGGCCUUGGUACACCACCGGUAGACCACUUGUCAAGUUUCGUUCCAUUUGGAGGUCGUUUGAUGCUCCAACGGUUAACCGCAAAGCCCUUUUGUGUGUUGCAGCAAAACCCCCCUCCAAACAGCCCAAAACCCCUCUAAGUCACUUCCAUGCUCUAGGUCGUUCGAUCACGAUCGUGUGGGCGAAAACCGCACUCCAUUUGGAGUCUCCUAGCCCCCUCUACCUAUAAAAACACCUCCCCCUCCGAAAUUUUCGCAGAUCAAACCCUAGCCCCACUCCCUCCGCGCGCCGGACACGUCCGCCCGGCGCCGGACGAAACCCGCCGCCGCGCCCGUCCAACCAGGGGCCNNNNNNNNNNNNNNNNNNNNNNNNNNNNNNNNNNNNNNNNNNNNNNNNNNNNNNNNNNNNNNNNNNNNNNNNNNNNNNNNNNNNNNNNNNNNNNNNNNNNNNNNNNNNNNNNNNNNNNNNNNNNNNNNNNNNNNNNNNNNNNNNNNNNNNNNNNNNNNNNNNNNNNNNNNNNNNNNNNNNNNNNNNNNNNNNNNNNNNNNNNNNNNNNNNNNNNNNNNNNNNNNNNNNNNNNNNNNNNNNNNNNNNNNNNNNNNNNNNNNNNNNNNNNNNNNNNNNNNNNNNNNNNNNNNNNNNNNNNNNNNNNNNNNNNNNNNNNNNNNNNNNNNNNNNNNNNNNNNNNNNNNNNNNNNNNNNNNNNNNNNNNNNNNNNNNNNNNNNNNNNNNNNNNNNNNNNNNNNNNNNNNNNNNNNNNNNNNNNNNNNNNNNNNNNNNNNNNNNNNNNNNNNNNNNNNNNNNNNNNNNNNNNNNNNNNNNNNNNNNNNNNNNNNNNNNNNNNNNNNNNNNNNNNNNNNNNNNNNNNNNNNNNNNNNNNNNNNNNNNNNNNNNNNNNNNNNNNNNNNNNNNNNNNNNNNNNNNNNNNNNNNNNNNNNNNNNNNNNNNNNNNNNNNNNNNNNNNNNNNNNNNNNNNNNNNNNNNNNNNNNNNNNNNNNNNNNNNNNNNNNNNNNNNNNNNNNNNNNNNNNNNNNNNNNNNNNNNNNNNNNNNNNNNNNNNNNNNNNNNNNNNNNNNNNNNNNNNNNNNNNNNNNNNNNNNNNNNNNNNNNNNNNNNNNNNNNNNNNNNNNNNNNNNNNAUUCUCGAAGUCCCAAGAAUUUUUGCAUUAUAUGCUCCUGUUCGUCGCCUAAUAACUAUCUGCAUACUGCUCCGUUUUCCGUGCAUGAUAUAUCGAAAUGUUCGUCUCGAGAUGCUCUUCAUUUUGUUCCAUUAUGAAAUGUUCAUUUGAGUCCAUCUUGAUGCCCAAAUCUCUGGUGCAAGAGUGCUAUAUGCUGUUACCUGCUGUUACUUAUCAAAACUUGGUGAUUUGUUAUUUUUGUUGCAAUUGAUGUGUGCAUCUUAUGAGUAUGAGCUCUACAUGUGUUUUGAUCUAUGCCAUGCCAUCUUUACAGGGGUGUAUGCCAUGUAUUUUUGUGAUCUCUGUGGUGACUAGCACAAGCAUGCAAACUAGGCUUCGUGAUGUUUCUGUUUUCAGGGACUUAGUAUUUUCACCGUCUGUUACUGCUGUUAUUUUGUUGCUAUGUAUCCAUGUGUCUACAGUGAGAUUCGUGCUCCUUUUGGUGAUGUUCAGUAAGGAUGUUUUGUAGAUAUAGUUGUGUUCUAUCCAUCCAUGCCCCUGUUUGCAAUUAUGGAGUGCCCUAGCAUGACACAAACUUGCUCUACUUUUGCUAUAAAAUAUUUAUGGCAGAUUGUUAACAUGAUAUUCAAUUUUGCCAAGGUUGUUGUAGUUGAUCCAUACAGGCUAUGUAUUUGUUCUUGCCAUGGAUAGAUUCUCAAACAUGCCAUCUUGCUGUAGGUAUGCUUGUUUUGUCAUGCAUUGCUUUUUGGUGAGUGAAUCAAGCUCAUCAAGAUGCCUUCAUAAUUUUGUUUACUGCCAUGCUCUGUUUUCUACUGUCUGAAACCUGAUAACAAAACUUGCUAUGUUUACAUGGUUGCCAUCAUAUCUUCUGAUCCUUUUUGGCUCAUGGUCAGUAAGGGACUUUUGUUCUAUGCAGUUAGUAGAUUCAUGCCAUGCCUUGUUUUGCUAUGUUAAGUUCCUGUAGCAUGUUUUGUGCUUGCUCUGAACAUUGCUACCUGAUGCUGUUUCAGCCAUGUCCAGUAAUUUCACCAAGUCUGUGAACCUGAUAUCUUUUGCACUUUUUCCAUGCUUGUUUGAACCUGCUGUGGUGUGAUCUAGCCGUAGCUCAGUGUUCCUCUUUUGUCAAGCAUCUCCUGUAGAUUACUGUCAUAUGCUUUGUUCCUAUGUUGGAGUGCUUUAGCAUAGUUUCUUGAUGUAUUCUAAGUGCUAUCCUGUUGUUAAUCGCAGAUUUAUGUCAUUCUUGUUUUGCUUGCCAUUUGCAAACCGUGCAUCCGUUUCCGGUGAUAUUUAUAUCGAUUUCGACCGAAAUCAUCUCAUCUUUCCAGUGGCAUGCUUGGUUUGCCAAGUUACUGCCUUGUUGAUCAUUUUCUUCCGGAGCACGCAUAUGCAUCGCAUAUCACAUCUUGCAUAUCAUUCAUGUAUUGCAUCAUGUUGCUUGUGCAUUUCCCGUUAUUGAUUGUGGUUCCAUUGCUUGUGUUCUUGCUGUGGGUAGAGCCGCGAGACGAGUUCGUGAACGAGGAACCUGUUGAGUACGCUUACGAGGAUCAAGCUUUCGACAACUCUCAGAACCUUGCAGGCAAGAUGACCAUACCCUCGAUAUCACUUCUAUCUUUGCUUUGCUAGUUGUUCGUUCUAUUGCCAUGCUGCGCUACCUACCACUUGCUAUAUCAUGCCUCCCAUAUUGCCAUGUCAAGCCUCUAACCAUCCUUUCCUAGCAAACCGUUGUUUGGCUAAGUUACCGCUUUUGCUCAGCCCUUCUUAUAGCGUUGCUAGUUGCAGGUGAAGUUGAAGUUGGUUCCAUGUUGGAACAUGGAUAUUUUGGAAUAUCACAAUAUCUCUUAUUUAAUUAAUGCAUCUAUAUAUUUGGUAAAGGGUGGAAGGCUCGGCCUUAUGCCUGGUGUUUUGUUCCACUCUUGCCGCCCUAGUUUCCGUCAUACCGGUAUUAUGUUCCUUGAGUUUGCGUUCCUUACGCGGUUGGGUGAUUUAUGGGAUCCCCUUGACAGUUCGCCUUGAAUAAAACUCCUCCAGCAAGGCCCAACCUUGGUUUUACCAUUUGCCACCUAAGCCUUUUUCCCUCGGGUUUUCGCGAGCCCGAGGGUCAUCUUUAUUUAAACCCCCGGGCCAGUGUUCUUUUGAGUGCUGGUGCAAACUAGAGCCCUUUGCAGCGCCACCUCGGGGAAACUUGAGGCCUGGUUUUAGUUGUACGGACUGCUCAUCCGGUGUGCUCUGAGAACGAGAUAUGUGUAGCUCCUAUCGGGAUUUGUCGGCACAUUCGGGCGGCUUUGCUGGUUUUGUUUUACCAUUGUCGAAAUGUCUUGUAAACCGCGAGACUGAUCGGGUCUUUUCGGGAGAAGGUUUAUCCUUCGUUGACCGUGAGAGCUUAUAAUGGGCUAAGUUGGGACACCCCUGCAGGGUAUCAUCUUUCGAAAGCCGUGCCCGCGGUUAUGAGGCAGAUGGGAAUUUGUUAAUGUCUAGUUGUAAAGAACUUGUCACUUGACCCAAGUAAAAUACAUCAACCGUGUGUGUAGCCGUGAUGGUCUCUUCUCGGCAGAGUCUGGGAAGUGAAUACGGUUUGAGUUAUGCAUGAACGUAAGUAGUUUCAGGAUCACUUCUUGAUCUUUUCUAGCUUCGCGACCGUUGCGUUGCUUCUCUUCUCGCUCUCACUUGCGUAUGUUAGCCACCAUUUAUGCUUAGUGCCUGCUGCAGCUCCACCUCAUUACACCUUUCCUAUAAGCUUAAAUAGUCUUGAUCUCGCGGGUGUGAGAUUGCUGAGUCCUGGUGACUCACAGAUUCUACCAAAACAGUUGCAGGUGCCGAUGAUGCCAGUGCAGAUGACGCAACCGAGCUCAAGUGGGAGUUCGACGAGGAACGUGGUCGUUACUAUGUUUCUUUUCCUGAUGAUCAGUAGUGGAGCCCAGUUGGGACGAUCGGGGAUCUAACAUGUGGGGUUAUCUUAUUUUCAUUUGGAUUUGACCAUAGUCGGUCUAUGUGUGGAUUUUGGAUGAUGUAUGAUAUAAUUUAUGUAUUGUGUGAAGUGGCGAUUGUAAGUCAACUCUCGUUAUCCCAUUCUUGUUCAUUACAUGGGAUUGAAGAUGACCCUUCUUGCGACAAAACCAGAAUGCGGUUAUGCCUCUAAGUCGUGCCUCGACACGUGGGAGAUAUAGCCGCAUCGUGGGCGUUACAAGUUGGUAAUCAGAGCCAUCCCCGACUUAGGAGCCCCUGCUUGAUCGAAUCGCUGGCGUUGUUGAGUAUAGAACAAAAAUGUUUUGAGUCUUAGGAUUAUAUAUAUCGGAGAGUAGGAUUCUUUUUACUCCUCAGUCCCAUCGUCGCUCUGGUGAGGUCUCCUGACGUAGAAGUUUUGACUCUUCUCUUCUCAAAUUUCACUAAAAAAAAAUUAGGAUCACGCGGGUAUCUUAGAAUCAUUCCGAUGGUUUUGUGACGAGAACAUUGUUCUUGGUGCCUCCUGACAUUUAGGGGUUGUGGCAGUGUCCCGAGGAGUUGAGCUCCGAGGUGUUGUCGUCACAAUUUUAUCGUUGCAGUUCUGGAAUACCUGAGUUUCGCCGACAUCGAAAAUCUCUUUUAUGCAGUUGUUGGUGAGAUCACCUCGACGCCACCCAGUACUGGGGCGGGAGUUCGGGAGUAUUGCCAUAACUCGUAUAACGGAUGCUUUUCGAAGGUUGAGGUACACGAUUUCCGAAGGUUUCUUGGUUAUGUGUUGACGGAUGGAUACAGCUGGAUCUAGGGAUUGCUAGUUUGGGUGAUAUAUUUUGUGUCCCCUGUAUCCCCAACACCAGAUUGCAUAACCAGAAAGUUUCGAGAGUUUAUAGGUGGGAUUCAAGUAGCUCUUAGCAUUUCUUCCCGCAGAUAUUUGGUUUGUGAUUGGGUAAUCCUUACCACUUAUUUGCUCCACUCGUACCUUUUUAUUUUAUUCAUCAAUCUCUUAUCAAGUGGCUUCCCACCUUAAUGGAAGUGUGAUAAUUUACUAUGAAAUUCAUUCGUUCAUCCUCGUUCGAAUGUUUAUUGUGAAGACUAUAUGUUGCAAUUUCUAUCCGUUGAUUCAAUUUGCCUAUCUGUCUAUCAAGAUGCUAACGGAUGUCACCCUCUUCAGGAUAGCUCCGCCAACGCGUCAGAAUCCGGAACGCAAUGAAAGGAGUCAGGCGAACCCUCUGCCACCACCUCCGCCUCUGGAGGCAUGGCAAGCUAUCAUGGCAGCCGCCAACGCCAAUGCUCAGAUGAUUUUGCAACUCUUGCAAGAACGCACCCAAGAGCAAGUCAUGCCUCGACACAUGAGAGAUAUAGCCGCAUCGUGGGCGUUACACAACGGUAGCCUCUCAAUGUCUGGAUAAAACAACGCAAGCAUACGAGACAGGAAAAUUUGGUACGGGUAAUCAUUAGUACUGACUACUGGUGCCUAGCUUUCAAUUACAACAAGGUAGACUAGAACCAGUUUAGCAACUAAACUGAAG
rnacentral:lncRNA from 1 species